UAAUGCAUAAGAGUUUAAAAUUAACAAUUUUCUAUGUGGGAUCGAUACUUUACUUACUCUGUAUUACUUGUUGACACAUGUAUGCUAGCAUGAGUUAGAGCUCUUUUAUUAGAACUAUAAAAGGGGCAACAUCUAACCUUAAACAUCAAUCAAGUGCGGAAAUAAAAGAAUUACAUCACAUCAUUAAAUAUAAAGUCCAACAUCAUGACAAUAAAUGAAAUUACAAGUCUUCAUCACUUGCACAUUUUUCCCUUUCAUUUGCUAGUUGUAGGUUCAUCGACCUUCUCAACUUUAGCUGCAAUGAUUAUAUUUAUGCAAGAGUGACCAAAACAAUUGUUCACUAGAUAUAACAAUGAUUCAACAAAAGAAUAAUAGCUGCCAAUGAAUAGACUCGUCAAAACUGAAUAGUACUCUAUCAAUGAUAACCAAAAACUGGAAUCAAAAUAUGAAAUAUAUAUAUCUGAGGGUCAUAAGACCACAAACUAUGUCCACGGUUACGAGUAGUCUUUCAACUUUAACCUUAACAUUUAUACUAUAGGGACUUCACGUACUUAGGGGGAUCAGCCCUUCAUACAAUGUAUUGUGCAUAAACAUCUAAACGCAUUGUGUACCCCCUAUAAUAGGGUUGUUCUUCUCAGUUUUAGAGUACAAGUCCACACCAAAGAAAGUUUGGUUUGGAUAAGUUUAAAGGGUAAUUUAGAGUUUUAAAUAUCAACAACUAGAGGACUAGUUGAAUCAAUAAGGUUUGAUAACACAACAAUUGAUCAAUAAUAACAUAAUAUGUAACAAUGAAUAAUCAUAAUUGAACUAACUAUAUAUUAAACGCAUGCUUAGAAACAACUAUGAAGCGUAAGUAUUGAAUAACAAUUAACCUUACUUGAAUAAUAUUAAGCUAAGGCUACGAUCUUAUUAAACAAGAUAUAGAAUUAUUGAAUCUAUAUUAAGUAAUAGCAAGCUAAAAGUAAAACUUGCUCAACAUAAGAAUAACUUGUGACAAGUAGUUGAAAUACGACAAUUUGACAUUAGGAAUUUGGAAUUCAAGAAACUACAUUCACAAUACAAGAAUGACAAUAAAGAAACUUGUCUAACAAUAAACAAGUUAGAAUACAUCAAUAACUAUUGGAAUUCAAAGCUUGUUCGAAUAAAGUUACAGUUAUAGAUUGCUCACAUAAUGAUUAAGAGUACAAUAAUUUGCUUAAUUAAAGUUUAGAGUAAGAACUUGCUCAAUGUAAAAAAGAUAAGGUUUAGAAACUUGCCUCGCGCGUAAGCUAUAAAUUACAACUCACGUUCACCUACAUAUUUUAGUGGAAUCACAAUAUCUAUUAGAUAUACUAAUAUUCACGUAUCAAAAAAACACUCUCUUCUAGUUAGACUUGUUAUUUUAAUUCAAGUCUGACCUUACUAUACACAUUUCAGAAUCACAAGUGUAAUUUCAUAACACUUAUUCAUUAUUCACGAAGUUUCUUAAACUAUAACAUUUUAUUUUCACAACCUACUAACCUUACAUAUUAAAGUUACUAACCACAUGAUACUAUUCUGUUUUAACCCUUACAUUACAUGUUUCUCACAUUAACAUAACAUUAGACUAAGUUACAAUGAGUGUUCAAGGUCUGCAGAAAUAGCAGACUUCACUAUCUCUGGCUGGCUACUAGCGCGGCUGCGCUAAUAUUACCUAGGUUACUGCACGCCCGUGCCAAGAGGUCGCGCGCCCGUGCUACGCACCAAUUCCAGUUUUGCAGAACAUGAUUUUCGCACUAUUCUUAAGCCAACUAAUACGAAUUUCACCCACAAAACAGUAAUAUUAACAUAGACAAUUGGUAUAGAACUAACACAAACAUGAUUCCUCACAUAUUCAACCACUUAGAACAAUUUAAUAACAACUUUAACUAAUUUAAAUCCUCAAAUUCCAUAUUUUCAUAUAAAAACUCCAAUUUUGAAUUCCAUUACAAAAAUUCACACUAUAAUCAUAGUUCUACACCAAAUCACUUCGUUCAAACUACGUUCUCUUCGUUUUUUAAUGGACUAGCAUAAUCAAAACUCAAUUUACAGUUUAACAUACAAGUUGACCACUAAAAUUGGUACUUUCACAAGCCAUAUGAGAAAUAUAUACAUUAUUGUUACUUUUCCUACUUUUAACUGUAAUUAGCAUACCAAUUCCUUGUUUAAACAUAAAUCUAGCAUCUCAAACACAUACAAUCACCAUAAUUUAGUUGUAUAGCAACAAUUCAAAAAGAUGGAAUUCACAGAAUAUAAAAAAAAUUAUUGCCGUGAAAUAUAUAUAUGUGUAUAUAUAUGUAUAAUAUCAAAGUUAUGAAUAAUAUCUUCAAUUAGCUUGAAUAAUAUUUGCAAACACCACAGAAAUUGCUUGAAAACUCAAAACUUCCUCUCAAAUUCUCUCACAAACUCUCUGUUCUGUAAACCUUCUUCUCAGACUUAGCAAAUAACUAAAGCGUAAACCAAAACCCAAUUGAUAACCAAUUUCGUAAAAAGAAACUUAUAUGGCCAUAAUAAGCCUAAUUAGUUACAAAAUAUAAUGUAUAAGUUAUAAUUAUGUUUUAUUUAUUAUUUAAUUUAUUUUAUUUGUUUUAUUUAUAUUAUCUAAAAUUUCAAAAAUUAAAAAUCCAAAAGCCAUAAGGCUUUGUUUGGCAAAAAGUCUUUAAAAUAAAGACUUAAUAUUUUAAGUGUUGUUUGGUUAAAUCAAUUUAAAACUACUUUAGUUUUAUUUUAAUAAAUAAUUUAGUUUAUAAUUUAUAAUCACAUAUUAUUUAUUUGGAUUUCCAUAUCCAACAUUAAUCAAAUAAAUUAAUACUAUAUUUUAAAUAAAUAUUCCACUCAAACAAAUAUCACAAAAUUAUAAUUUUAUUUAAUAAUUUAACAUACCACAACAAUAUAACAUCUCAUGUUAUAUUACAACUCUCUAAAUUAUAAAUUAAUUUAAUUUAGAAUAUUAUCAAUUCAUAAAUAUUUAAUAACGACAAUCACAUCAAAUAAAUGUUUACUAACAACAAUCACAUCAAUAAAAUAUUUAUUUAAUUUAAUAAAUAUUUUAAAUUAUAUAUAAUAAAAUCUUGGAUUGUUACAAAAAUAACAACAAAAUUUUUACCAUUAUACUGUUGAAAUACCCAGUGAUAAAAGUAUAGUAAUACGCGUUGUUGCACAGUAGAAUACGGUAUUGCACAGUAUCUCUAAUUAUUAAUGCUUACAUAAGAAGUCACUCAGUUUUAUUCAAUAAUUGUCACAGUAGUUGCUGUAUAGUAUCGAAUAUUAUUGAUUCAAUUAUUAUCACAGUAUCAUCUGCAUAAUAUUUUAUAUUAUUAAAUCAAUAAUUGAGACGACAUAGUUAUUCAUAUUAUUAUUUAUAUUAUUGACAAUGUCUAGAAAGUUCUGUCGAGAAAAGGGAUUUAUUUAUUUAAUUGCGCGCCAAUAAGAAAAAAUUCUUAUCGGAAAGCCCCCUCUUUCCUAGGAACGACCUGGUUGUCGAUAUUGUGAGUUAUAAUAUUAAAUGAUGAAUAAUUGUUAUAAGAUUAAAAAUGUGUUGAUUAAAGAUAAGUGAUUUAUGGUAAAUAUUUAUUCAAUAUUUAAUAUAAAUAGAGGGGUUUGUCAUGAGGUGUUUGUUCUAAGUUUGUCUUUUUAUUCCAUGGAGAGAUAUGCUAAUUUUUUAGACCGUCGGUUGAAGUUAUAAUAGUAAAUCAAUAUAGAUCUUAGGUUAAAGUUAUAAUAGUAAAUCAAUAUGGACCGUUGGUUGAAGUUAUAAUAGUAAUUCAAUAUGGACUGUAACAAUACAGAAUUUUUAAUUAUAAUUCCAAAUAUUUAUUGAAUUAUAUAAAUAUUCUAAUUGAUGUGUUUAUUGUUGAAUAAAUAUUUGUUUAAUGUAAUUUGAAUUGAUUAUUUAUUUGUUAAAUAAAUAAUCUAUGAGUUAAGGAAAUUAAUUAUUAUGAGAUAAUACACUAAUUUAAAUUAAUAAUUAAAUUAGAGAGUUUGUAAUGAUUAAAUGAAUUAUUAUUAUGUUAUUCUAAUUUGAUUUUGUAAUUAAAGUGAUGUGUUAAUUUAUUAAAUAAAAUUAUAAUUAUAAGGAAAAUUAUAAUUUUGUUGUAUAAAACUAUAUGAUAAAUGAGUUAUUAACAUAAAUUAAAAGAGUUAUAAAUUUGGUUUUACCAAACAAAGCCUUAGAGCUUUUGAAAUUCUUGUUUUAAUCUUGUUUUGCCAAACAAGGCUUAAGGAAUGAUUAAGUCAUUAUUUUAAUUGAUUUUUCCAAACAAGGCCUUAUGGAAUUUAAAUUUUAUAUAUAUAUAUAUAUAUAUAUAUAUAUAUAUAUAUAAUGAUAAUAAAUUAAAAUAAAACAUAACUGAAAUAAAGGAGGGGAAUUAUAUUUUUGACAGUUAUAUACGCAUAUUAGUUAGUCUUUUAUUUCUACGUUAAGUUAGAAAAAGAAAGAAAACAGAGAGCACUAGAGAGUUUGAGGGAGAAAAGAAGAGAAGAAAUUCUCUGUGUUUUGAGAGAGUGAGGAGAAGAAAGAAGAGAAGUAAAAGAUCAUUCUUAUCAUCUAUCAAAGUUUGAACGGGCAAUCAAAGGUAUAAUCAUACUUUCUAAACGUUCUAGUUUUUAUAUACAUGAAAAGUUCUCUGUAAAAUUGGUGUGAAGGAUUAAUUGGUUAUUAUGUAAUUUUAUAUGAUAAUUGUUGAUAUAAAUUGUUUUCAUGUGGUUUAUAGAUUAUUUAGAGUAAAUUGAUUCAUGUAAUAUAUUUUAUUAUGGAGGAAAUUAUAUUACAGUAAGUUUGCAUUGACAUAUAUUGAAUAUGGCUUAAAUUAGAAUUAAAAUUGGUACUCAAUUCAUAGUAUAAGUGUAAUUUGUUUAUUGAUUGUGAAAAUAUAUAAAGAAACGAAAACAACGUAAUUAAAACUAACUGUUUUGGUUGUAAAACGAAUUCACAGUGAAUAAUUUCGCUAUAAAUGUCAAAAAAAGAAGAAAUAAUAAAAAUAGUAAAAUUAAAGGUUGUAAUUUUGAUGUUUAUGUUGAUUAUGUUCUUAGAAACAUGCUAGAAAUAUUAGUUUAUGUUUCUGUAAAUAUAUUACACCUUGGGUAGGUUGGUAUGAUUGUUAGAAAAGAGUUUUUAGGCCUAAUUGGGCUUUCUGUAGUGUUCGUGAUGUAAAUUCGCAAAAUUACAGAAGGUACCCUCGCCCCGGCUGGCUAUUGUAGUACAAAAACCCCCGCCCCAGCGCNNNNNNNNNNNNNNNNNNNNNNNNNNNNNNNNNNNNNNNNNNNNNNNNNNNNNNNNNNNNNNNNNNNNNNNNNNNNNNNNNNNNNNNNNNNNNNNNNNNNNNNNNNNNNNNNNNNNNNNNNNNNNNNNNNNNNNNNNNNNNNNNNNNNNNNNNNNNNNNNNNNNNNNNNNNNNNNNNNNNNNNNNNNNNNNNNNNNNNNNNNNNNNNNNNNNNNNNNNNNNNNNNNNNNNNNNNNNNNNNNNNNNNNNNNNNNNNNNNNNNNNNNNNNNNNNNNNNNNNNNNNNNNNNNNNNNNNNNNNNNNNNNNNNNNNNNNNNNNNNNNNNNNNNNNNNNNNNNNNNNNNNNNNNNNNNNNNNNNNNNNNNNNNNNNNNNNNNNNNNNNNNNNNNNNNNNNNNNNNNNNNNNNNNNNNNNNNNNNNNNNNNNNNNNNNNNNNNNNNNNNNNNNNNNNNNNNNNNNNNNNNNNNNNNNNNNNNNNNNNNNNNNNNNGGGGGGGGAGGGGAGUCUGAUUUGCCUAAGUUAUGAAAAUUUGGUCGGACAUAUUUUACUAAAAUGAGCAUAACGUUUUCAUACGAACUCCAAUUGAUGCGAUUCAAGAUGAUCCGGAAUGAGGACGAAUAGACUUAUAACUUUUAUUCUUUAAGUUGUUAAAUUUUAUGUCGUUAUUAGGGGUCAAAAUGUCCAUCUUUAGGACUGUUGUGCAUUUGAAGGCAAUCGGAGGGCGUCGGGAUACACGAAUGCAAGUGAAGUCCUUUGUGUGUUAGUAUAACCUAAUCUAAAGAGAAUGAUAACAUGUUGGACAUGUAAUAGGAUGCUGUAUCAAUUUGGUAAUGUGUAUAUGGUGCAAUGAUAUGAUAAUUUAAUUAGUUGUAAUAGAACUAAAAUGUGAUGCUCAUGAAAAGAUGUGAUGUUGUUUAAACUUAAACUUAGUUAAUGAGUUAUACUAAAAGUGGGAAAGAAACUCAUAAAGCUAAUAUUAGUGUAACUAAUGAGUAUUAUCAAUACAUAUGGUAUGUGUAGGACUUGUGGGGAACGUGAGGAGUGGUUGUUUAACCUAUGCAAGAGGUAAGUUCUCUAACUCUACUUUUACGAUUGUGCAAGUGCUUAAACCUUAUUGAUGUAUUGAACAAGUUCCUAAACCUACUUAUAUAGAUAUUUUAACUUGAUUAUGUUCAUUCAAACUCUUCAACCUAACUCGUACUUUGAGAAGGGUUCCUAUCUUUAAUUUUAUUUCUUAUUAUGAAAGUUCCUAAAUUCUGUUAUUCUUAUGUUGAGCAAGUUUUAUUCUUCAACUUGUUAUUAAUCAUGCACGUUCAUUAACUCACUUCUUUUAUUGAUCAGUACGAUUUGUAGCCUUAGCUUACUAUUGUUCAAGAAAAGUUUGUUAUAAUAUUCAAUGCCUAUGCUUUCUAGUCCAUUUCUAAAUCAUGAUAUCGAUGUAUAAAGUUGAUUCACUUAUAAUUCAUGACCAUUUCAUAUCAUAUUGUUAUCGAACACUUGAAGUGAUAUCAAACUAUAUUGAUUCAACUAAUCCUUAGUUGAUGUUCGUUGAACUCUAAAUUACCUUGAAGCUUAUCCAAACCAAACUUCCUUUGGUGCGGACUCGUAUAUUAAAACUGAGAUGAACAACCCUAUUAUAGGGGAUUAUAAUAACUUUGGACAUAGUUCAUGGUCUUGUGACCCUCAGAUACAUAUAUUUCAAAUUCUGUUUCCUGAUUAUCAUUGAUAGAGCAUAUUAUUCAAUUCUAUUGAGCCUAUUCACUUGGCAGUUGUUAUGAUAUUUUUAUUUCAUUGUCACUUCAAGUGAGCAUUUGUUUGCUCACUCAUGCUUAUAUAACCAUUACAGCUAAAGUUGAGAAGGUCGAUGAACCUACCACCAGUAAAGGAAAAGGAAAGAUGAACAAGUGUUGAAGACUUGUAAAUAUGUUGAUUUCUAUAUUGUCAGACUUUGUUUUAAUUUUUGAGAUAUAAUUAUUUUAUUUUUCGCACUUAAUGUUUGUAUUUAAAGGUUAGAUAACCUGGGAGAUUGGAUUGAACUUAUUGAUGUAAUCCUUUAAUGGGAAGGUUUAUUGUUAAUCUUUAUUAUAUUUGGGUAGUUAAAAAUGAAUGUUUAGACAGUGAACACCAAAUCUUGUGGGAAUGAAGUACCCAGAUUUGAGGUGUGACAUGGAUCGUCGGUUGAAGUUAUAAUAGUAAAUCAAUAUGGACCGUCCAUUUAAUAGUAAAUCAAUAUGGACCGUUCGUGAAUAUGUUACUAUUUAGUUCAUUCUCCUAUAAAUAGAAGCUCAUUACUUCAUUAUUUCUUACAAAUUCACUAAAACUCUAGAGAGAGAAACUAUAGAGAGAAUAAGAGAGAAAGAAGAAGAGUAUUCUGCUAUUACACUAUUACAGUAUCCAAUCUCCUACUGAGGUAAGGGAUAUUAUUUUUCAUAUUCGUAAGGGGUAUUAUGUAUUUCAUAUAUGUAUGUGAUAUUACUUCAUACUCGUAAAUGUUGUCAUUCUAUAGCUUAUUAAUAUGCGGGAGUAAUCUGUCUACGCGAAUUCCUGCAUGCAUGGUGAAUAACCCUUCGUAUUCAUUCUUUAUUAAUCUGUGGGAGUAACCUGUCUACGUGGAUUACCGCAUGCAUGGUGAAUAAUCCUUCGUAUUCAUUCUUUAUUAAUCUGCAGGAGUAACCUGUCUACGCGGAUUACCGCAAGCAUGGUUAAUAAACCUUUGUAUUCAUUCUUUAUUAAAUUGUGGAAAUAAUUUGUCUACGUGGAUUACCGCAUGACGGGUGAAAAUCCCUUUGCAGUUUCGUAUAUUCUUUCAUAUUUGUCUGGGAUAUCAUUUCUUUUGUACUCAUCAAGGGAUAUCGUUUUCUUUCGUAUUCUCUAUUUAUGGGUACUAUUCAUACUAGAGUUGUAAUAUCCCGAGUGUUUAUGAUAACGAUCCUUAGAGAAGGAAAUGAAUGGGUUAAAGAAUAUAUAAUACUCAAAAUAUAAUUGAGUUCAAGUGAAAGUUAUGAAAUAAAACCUAGAAUUUGUUGAAGUAAUGAAUGUAGUAGGAAAUAUAAAACUUAUAUUAAGGUAAUGUGUUGAAAAUAUUCAACGAUAAAUUUUGAAAAGAGAUUUGGUGAAAACCGAGUAUUGGAGGUUUCUUUGAUUCUGAGGACGGAAUCCUUAUAAGGAGGGAAGGAUGUGACAACCCAAAUUUUCAUAAGUUAUUAAAAUAAGAAUUUAACAAUUAAAAUUCUUAUUAUGAGUUGUAUAUAUUUUGAAUUAUGUGAUUUGGUGUGAAGAGAAUUAUAUAUUCAUAUGUUGGAGAAUGUGAGAUUUAAUAGUUAAUUAAACUAUUAAAGAAAUUAAAUAAUAUUAGUUAAUUUAAUUAAGUUGAAAUUAUGUUAUGAGAUAAUAUAAUUUUAAUUGUUAUGCCUUGUGGGCAAUGGAAAUUAUUAUGAGUUAAGUUUCAUAAAUAGUGUGAAUAAUUCACUUAAUUAAAAUAGUGAAUUAAUACAAGUAUAAUUGAUUUAAUAAAGUGAGAAGGUAAUAUAUUGCAUGAAAAUAUAAAUGUUAGUAUAAUGCGAGUAAAAUAUCUAUUAAGUACAUUAAAUACUUUAGUUAGAAACUUUAUGGAAUAAAAUGAAUAUUUAUGGUAUUAAAUAAAUAUUUGAUAAAAAUUGUUAUGAGAUAGUUUAUUUAAGUGUGAUAAAAUAGAUGGGAUUUAUACAUAUUUUAUUACGCGAGUGUAAUGGUGAUAUUCUAAUUUAAUUAAAUAAUUAAAUUAGAGGAAUAAGAAUUUGUUAAAUAAUGUUAUGAUUAUAAUGGUUGAAUAGAAAUUAUAAUUUUACUAAUAAGAUUAAUUUUAUUUCUUAAGGAAUUAAAGGUACAUAAUUUAGUUUGUAUUUCUAGUUUAUGUGUUCUUGAGUUUCUUUUAACAUUGGGGUUUUGGUUAAUGAAUUUGUGGGUUCUGAUGUUAUAUAUGUUAUUAGAUUUUAUAAUUUCAUAAUGGUCAUCUAAAAAUGAUUUUUCAGAAAUCAAAUUCAUGUAUUUAUGCUAAAGAGGAGGAAUUUGGGUUUUGAUGGUAAUGUGUAUUUUGGUGUACUUUGAGACUAAAUUUGAUGAUGAAUUCGUGAUUGAUACUUUAAAUUGAUGGAUUAUUGUUGUUCUCCUCUAUAAAACGAAAACAAUGCAACUUGAACGGAUCGAAUUGGUUAAGAAACGAAUUCGUGAUGAAUGAAUACAUUUAGCAUGUUAAGAAUAUGAAAAAUUAGUAUAAACCAAUUAAAAUUAGUAUAAACCAAGUCCCACAUUGACUAAAUUGAGAACUUCACCCCUUUUCUAAACCUAUAAAUAGAAGGGCUUGGCCCUUUGUUUCAUUCACCAACAAUAAGGCCUCCAAUUUUGAGAAAGGCUUUGUUGUGGGAGGACUUUUUAUAAAGAUAUCCUCAGUUAAAUCUUGGUCGAGUGCGUAUUCAGUUUGUGGAAUUCAUAUUUUCGGGUAUGUUUCUUAUUUAAUUUUUGGUAAUGUUAUUAUUUUAAAUAUUGUAUUUAGUUUGUUAGUUAAAGUUUGAAUUUUGGAAGUUUAGCUAGUUUUGUUAGUAAACUAGUUAGUUUACUAUGUUUAUUUUGGCUUGAAAUUGAUUAUGUAAAUGAGUUCUAAUGAUUGUAAUUAGAGAUAUGGAGCCGAGACCUUAGACGAGUCUGAUUAUGUUAAAUUAGACUUAUUUGUAAAGAAAGUUAGGUUGGAACGAGUCGAGGUGAGUUUUGGAUGCCAAAAUGAGAAGUCCGAAAAAAUAGUGGACUGCUGAUCCAAAAAAGAAAAUUUGGGGUUAACUAAAUUGUUUAAAAAUUUUUGGACUUUUGGUAUAUUAUAGUUCACUGAAUAAGCUUUCCAUAGAUUCUGGAAUGGACUAAUUCCGACUUCAGAGCAAAGAGUUAUGACCAUUAAAAAUAGUCGCGUCAAAACUGUCUAACCAACUCGGGGCAGUCACCUUGAACUAAUUUUCUGAAAUUCUAUGUUUAGAAUUUGGAAAAGGUCAAAAAAUAAAAGUUGUAGUCCUGGAAGUUAGCUUCGCGUGGUCUCAGGAAUCGCUCAAAAAUGUUUUGAAACGGAAAAGUUAUGACUGUUUUAGCUAGAGAGGGUAAAGUUGGGAAAGAAUAAAAAAUAGUUUUGAACACCCCUUUUUGAACACUAUUUUGGACUGUCUAUCUUAUCCAAAAUGGGUGUCCAAUAACUUUUAAAAAUAGGUUAAUAUGAUGUUUACUAUAACACCCCCAAAUUCAGGUACUUAAAACCCGAACUUGGUGCUUUACGAUACCAUUUCUAUGAGCAGAAUAAUACUAAUAAUAAUAACAAUAAUAUAAAUAUCAAACUUAAUUUACAUACAUCAGAGUCUAAUCCCAAGUACGCAACCUUUACUACAAUACAUUACAUGAUAGAUAAUAAAUACCAUUGUCUUAAUACUGUCUAACUAUUACAAAAGAUAACAUAACACUUAUUCUGUUUGCUUUCCUUUUUCCUUGUUCUUGUCCGAACCUUCUGGUUGCUCACACUUAGCUGAAAACAUUUAAAUUAAGCAAGGAUGAGCAUUUGAUUUCCCAGCAAGUAAUAGCAACAAUAAAUAUUAGCUGAAAGAAUUAAAUGUUUUCUUUGAAUGACACUUCUACAACGAAUCAAUAGUUGUGAAGUAAGCUGAAAUAAUAAUAACAACAUAACAAUUCUAUAUCAAAAUUUUUGAAACUACGUACUGACUAUAACUGAAGAGUAGUCGACAUACUAUGAACUUUGUUUUCAAUUUUCGCUAAGGUUUAGCAGAACUUCAUCCGCAAACCGUCAUAACUUACGGGUACGAGGGUGAUCAUCCCAAUGCGCCUUAUAUUGAUCAAUACUACAUGCAAGAACGAUAUUAUUGUUCACUCUAUCCACCUUAGGUGCACAAAAGUUUUCCCAUGUUCAGGAUGUUCAUACUUAAUCGGGAAUCCAAACCAAACCAAUUUGAUUGGAUAUAAUAAAUUUCUAUCAUGUUCAACGAUAUUUCUAAAUCUGUGUCUAGCUGGGUCAAAUAGCUUAGACGACUUUUAAUUAAUGUAUACAUACCAGAAAUCAAUAGGUAUGUAUCAACAUGUGAUUAAAUACAAUAAUUAUCCAAGUGAGGUCACUUGUAUAACCAUACUUAGAAAUUAACGAACAGAAUAUAUAACUUGAUCUAUAAUAGGAGAAUUAAAGAACUUGUACAACAGAUUAUAACCUAAUAACUUACUUAUACAGAAUCAUUGCAUAAGUAUAUACAAAGGUUAAGAUAUUUGAAUCAAUGAAAAAGACAGUUUCGAUAUUCGUUUACGCUGUCCAUUGCAUAAAGUAAAUGCAAAGAUAAGAUACUUGUCUGAGCUGCUGCAUACAAUAACGCAACUUAGUUUUAUCUUUUAUAUAGAAACCUAUCAUUAAUAAGAUCAUUCGUUUGUUUAGAAUAAUAUAUCAUAUCACACAGUACUGCUAAUUGUAGUCAGCACAUAACCUAAUCACAUUGUCACAUAUGUUUAACAGUCAUUGCAUCACAAACAAAUACGUAUCUAAUCAAAUUAUCUAAGUUCAAAUCAAUUUCUGAAAUAUUUCGGUGUACCGACAGCUUUAUCGGGUAAUUAUCGAGUCUAAGACUCUAUCGUGUAGUUCAAUAUUCGUUUAGAUAUUUUAAAUAUUAGUCAUAUUAUCUUUCAUAGCCUUAUAAUAAUUUUUAAACAAUUAUUAUAAUUUAUUAUGAUUUUUCCAACAUCGAAAUCAUUAUUAAAUGAUUUAAAUAUUAAAUAAUUCUAUUAUCAUUAAUAUUUAAUUAAUAUUAAACUAUUAAUGAAACCAUUGCCAAAAUAUUUGAAGUUAUUUAUAAUAACUCAAAAUAUUUUUAAAGUAUUAAUAUUACCCUUAAAUGAUUUUUAAAACAUUUAAAAAUCAUUUUUAAAUAAUUACCAUUAAUAUUAAAAUAUUAAUUUAUUAUUUUUCAAAAUAUUAAAAGUCAUUAAAAAUAACUUAAAAUAUUUUUAAUUCAUUUAUAUCCUUUUUAAAUGAUUAAUAAAACUAUUUUUAAACUAUUUAUUUAAUAUAAUUAUUAAAUAAGUUUACUAUCAUUAAUAUUAAAUUAAUAUCAUUAAUAUUAAAUUAUUAAUGAAAUUAUCCUUUAAAUAUUAAAAGUUAUAGUUUAUAACUUAAAAUAUUUUUAAACACUUUAUUCUCAUUUUAAAUGAUUUUUAUAAUAUUAAAAAUCAUUUUAAUUAAUUUAUUUAAUAUAAUUAUUAAAUAAUUCUAAUAUCAUUAAUAAUAAAAUAUUAAUAUUUUUCAUGACCAAAUAUCAAAAGUUAUAUUUUAUAACAUAAAAUAUUUUUAUAAACUUUAAAUCAUUUUUAUGAUUUUUAAAUCAUUAAUUCUAUUUUUAAUAAUUUAUUUAAUAUAUUUAUUAAAUAACUUAAUUAUAAUUAAUAUUAAAUUAUUAAUGAAAUUUAUCACAAAAUAUUAAAAGUCAUUAAAAAUAACUUAAAAUAUUUUCUUAUACUAUAAUAUAAUUUUAAAUGAUUUUUCAAGUAUUAAAAUCAUUUUUAAAUAAUUUAUUUAAUAUAAUAAUUAAAUAAAUUAAAUACCUUUAAUAUUUUAAAAAUAUUAAAUAUUUAUGAAAUAUAUUGAAAAUUAUUAAAAACUAAUUUUCAAAUUUUAAAAUAAUUUUUAGUAAUUUAAUAUGUAUUUUUAAUAAUUAAAAACUAAUUUUCUCUAAUUAUUUAAUAAAAAUAUAAUUUUCAGAAAUUAAGUGUCGCUAAAGGUGAUUUAGGUGACAAAACUGUCGCUGAAGGUGUUCUUCAGCAAACCCAAAUCUUCAUAGCCGGUUUGCAGGGUAUCAAGUUUGACGAAGCAUAGAUAUUAGAUCGUUAGGUGUCUGGGUCGGUAUUUGUGUUAAUUUUCUAAUAAUCAUGUAGUACUACAACUCUAAACAAGUUCCAUGGCAAUACAACAACAGAUCAAUAAGUUAUUAAAUUCCAAAAAUUAUGUCAGAAGUUGUUCUUCAUUUCUGGGUUGCCCAGAAAUGAAGAACAGAUCGACUAGCCUACUUUGGGCUUCCACUACUUGUUGAUCGUGUAAUAUUUUAGUGAUAUAAUGCUUCCAGUGUGUAGACAACGUGCAAGUGAACAGAUCUAUUACAUCAAACCAUCAUAACAACAACAGAAUAGCCAGAUCCUGUCCGGUCAAACCAUGUCAGAAGCCACACUCAUGAGCUUUCUAGGUUACCAAGAAAACUCAUCCGUGAACUUUCUGCUUGGUUUGACUAUCCCCAAAAUCCAGUCUGUUUGUAAUAUAAGCGAUCUAAAAGUAUUAAUAUGUAGCAUAACUACCAUAUUAUAACUUGAAUACAACAACACAAAACAAUAAACACAAGAAAGAUCCAGGCGGUUGAAUAAGUUGUUAGGCCCUUUCUGGGCAGUUUUUGGGUUACCCAGAAACGCCCAGUCAUGGCCGGUCAACGGUCUUUGACCAACAAUAUCUUGAAAUAUGUUCAUGUUCUAUGCAAUAUGAAAGCAUAAAUGUGUAGUUCUCAUGUCAGGCUAUAAGAUAAAAACAAUAACUUGACCAAAAUAUAAAAUAACAGGAAGAUCAAAAGCUUCAAAAAUGACUGUCAGAAAUUCUGGGUUUCUGGGUUGCCCAGAAACUCAGAAUUUCUGAUCGGUCAACUCACUUUGACCACUCAUAACUUGAGUUAUAGAUAUAAUCUGACCAUGAUUCAAGUUUCAGAUUAAAGUCCUAACAUUAUACUACAAGUUGAAACCUUUAACCAACAAAAAUACAUAACAUAUAAAGAUUUACAAGGUCUGACAUUCGUUGUCAGACCACUUUUUAAAUUUUUUCCAGAUUUUUGAAAACUUCAAAUCCGAGCCUCUAGAUGUUAUGGAUCUAACAUCUAGCAACCCAUAUCAUCUAUGUACACUAUAAACAACAUGUUUUAACAUUAAAUCAUAACAUCUAACAGAGGGUUCAAGAUCAUAUUUGAUUUAGGGUUCAUACCUUACUAUGAACAAAUUUUGAUUCCUUGGCUACUGAUUUGUUAUGUGAGUUAGUGGGGCUUGAUUUGGGGACUGAAACACCUUUGGAUUUCGUGGGUUUGAGCUUGAGAGAGUUUGCCUAAGUGUAAGUGAACAAAUGGGGGAAAAUAAUGCACUUUCUCUCUCUUGAUCUUAUAUAAAACUUGUAUACAAUGAAUGUGGAUGGUGGAUUAGCUGAAUUGUAGAGCUUGUAGGCACAUGUCUAUGCUUAGGGUGGUGACUUGGUAAGAUUUUGCUAGCAAUAAUUUAAGAAUGGGACAAAAAGGGUAUUUCGGUCAAUUGUCUUUUAAUUUUAAUGGUAUUCUUGUCCAUGGUACUUGAAUCUAGGGUUUAAUCACUAGAUUUUAAACCUUAACGUUUCCCAAAUAAUUUCUAGGGUUUGAAAAAUUAAGUUUAAAGUGUAAUAAAAUUUUAAUUAGAACUUAUUAAUUAAAAUUAGGGUUUUUAAAUAGAAAUUAGGGUUUUAUAUAAUUAGGGUUCCUUAAUAUUAUUAGGGUUCCCAAAUUAAUAAUUCAAUUUACUAAAAUAAUAAUUAGGAUUUUUAAUUUUUGCAAUUAGGGUUCCUAAUUAGCAAAUUAGGGUUUCUAAUUUUAAUUAGGGUUUUCAAAUAAUAAUUAGGGUUUCCCUAAUUAUCAUUAAAUUCCAUAAUACUCAACAUAAUUCAUAGAACACAAUUUUUGACCGAUCUUAAACUCCAGUUCUGAGUUUCCAAUUAUGGUUUAUGACAAUAAUACUAGGUUUUGUCGUGAUACACCAUAAUUGACUAACCAUUAUCAGUCUACACAUAUAUUGUUUAUAUUUAUAACACCGAAAAGAAUAUUAUAUUUAAUAUAAUAUUAUUAUUCUCAUUCAUUGAUCAAAAUCUAGAAAUAAAUUUUGGAUUCCAUAUCUGAUAUAUCUUUCAAAUUCGUACCAUAAUUAAUUAAAUGAAAAUAAUUAACUUAAUUAAUUUGAAUAAAUUCAUAUAAUAAAAUAGUAAUUAUAACAAUUCUAAUAAUCUUUUCAUAUAUUAUUUAAAUAAUACAAAAUCAUAUUUUCAUGGAAAAUAAAUAAUAAAAACAUCUACUAAAAAAUUAAUUAUUAUAAGAAUAUACUUUAUAAUGAUCAAUAAUUCUAAAAUAAAAUUAUUUGAAAUUAUUCAUGUAAUAAAUAAAUUUUAUUUGUCACAUAUAUACAUACACAUUACUUGGCACAUAAUCUCAUCUUUAAAAAAUAUUAUAUGCAAAAUUUCUUAUUUAUUUAUAUAGAAAAUACCGGUUUAUUACAUUUACAACAUAUCCAAAGUUGGAUGUCAUCGGACUUAUGAGAUAUAGCGUAAAGUUUACAUUACAACUACUAUGCAUUGCUAUGUGACUAAUAGUUGAUGUGUAUGAUUAUAUAAUUGUGUAGGACACAUGAAGUGUAGAUAACUGUAAGCUGUUAAACUGUUAUUGGUAAACAACGAUCAAGACAAGUCUUUCGGUUCCUAUUUUCUACGUGGACUUGAUGAACUGUUUUAAAUUGCAUGAUAUAAUAUAUGUGUUGUAAGCGAGCAUGAUAUGUUAUACAUGUUGUAAUCAUGAAAUGUUAGAGUUAAUUUAUGACUACAUUGUUUUGGUUAAAUAAUGAUGAUUGAGUAAGGAACUCAAUCUUUAUAUUUGCUAUGUGAAUUAAAGCAUGUAUGCCAUGUUACUUUAGUUAUUAAGUUGAGCAUAUUGUUAUGUGCUAUGUGAUGCAUGAAAACUGUUAGAACUUGUUGAGCUGUCGAGCUUACUCUUGCAAAUAAUAAUUCUUGCAGGUCAAGAUUACAAGGUAAGGAUAUGUGCUAAGUGAAUUAUAGAUAUCCAUAUUCACGAAGAUUACUUAUAUUUUAUGAGAAAUGUAUUUAAUAUUUUGAAUGUAACAUAUUGUUGAAUUGUAAGUUGGGCUAUCAGGUGUAUAUGGAUAUCUAUUUAUGAUGUAAGACUUUGUAUAGUCAUUUUGUUGUAACGAUUCAUGAUAUAUAUUUGAAUCGAAGAGAUGUAAUGUAAAGGUUGCGAUUUAGGGCAAUACAAAAGGAAAUUUAUAAACGUUUUAAAUAUUUCGCAUUUUUUUAGUGAUUUUAAUAUCGAAUAAUGAUGUAAAGAUAGAUUAAAGUCGUAUUGUUAAUGAUCGAUAAGUAGAAUAUUAUUGUCUGAAUUUUUGGGGUUGUUAUAAGAGUACUAUUCAUUUGGGGUACUUUGCAUGACGGGUUACUAUUCAUUUGGGGUACUUUGCAUGAUAGUGUACUAUUUAUUCGGGGUACUUUACAUGACGGGAUACUAUUCAUUUGGUACUAUUCACGAGGUACUAUUCACGAUAAAAUUGGUUUAUCUCUAUCCUAAUUAUUUUUGAUACAUGAAUAUAAAUCUUGAAUUUUACUCCACAAUUAGUUAUCAUGUUGACAAUUUGGACAUUCUUGAACUCUGGAUAAAUUGAAUUAUAAAUCUCCAAUAUUUAUCCUUGAUCUCACUUGAUUGAUUCGUUAUAUCAUUGUUAUAAUCCUCAUACUUAAAUUUGUGUUGAAAGUCAUCUUUGGCCCGUAGUUCAAAGAUCGACUGUUGAUUAUUGGUUUUACAGUUGUAUAUCUUUGCUCCGUAGUACAAAGAUAGAUUGUUGAUUAUUGAUUUUACAGUUGUAUGUCUUUGGCCCAUAGUGCAAAGAUGGACAUAUGAUUAUUGAUUUUAUUGUUUUAUGUCUUUUGCCAUAGUGCAAAGAUGGACUGUUGAUCAUUGGUUUUACAAUUGAAUAUCUUUGGCCCGUAGUGCAAAGAUAUACAAUUGAUUGGUAUGAUCGUGACCAUUGAAUAUCUUUGGCCCAUAGUGCAAAUAUAUAAAAUUGAUUAGCAUGAUCAUGACCGUUGUUGUUAUAUUUGAAUGUUUUUGGUGUAGAGUGUAAAGACGAUAUGAUUAUUGAGUAUCUUAGCCUUUGUGGAAAGGACAUUGAGUGAAAGUUCUAUUAAGCCUUUGUGGCAAGGAGAAACUAUUGAUUUACAUUAUUAUAAACAUAAAUUAUGAAUUUAACUAUAAUCUUUGGUGGUUCAGGUAAAGACAGGUGAUGAAAGUUCUUUUUAUCUUUGUUACAACAAAGAACUGUUGAUGGGUAUUACAUGAAUAAAAUAUUAAUGAUCGACUUUUAAUGUGGAGGAGAUAGUAGACAUUAUGUUCUUCUUGACUCUUCUAAUAGAUUGUUGAUUUUGCUGCAAUUAUGUAUGAAAACUUUUAUGAUCUACCAUAUGUUCUAAAUAUCUGAUUUAUUACUGAUGAAGGCUAUUGAUAAUUUAAAUAUCUUAGUCAUGAUAUUCUUACUGGGCUAUUUGUGUAACGACCGAGAAAUUCGGAUUUAUUGUAAAAUAAUUUUAUUUAAUUAAAUAAUGAAUAAAAUUAUAUUAUAUGUUAUAAUUAUGUGCUAAUAAGAUGAAGGUUAUUUUAUAACCUAGAUAUGUCAGAAUGUCGUAGUAUUUUGAGUAUGUAAAGGAAUUAAAGUGUUUGAAUUUCCAAGACGAAAAUAAAAAUUUUCCGAGAAAUUUUUUGAAAAGUACUAUUCACUAAUUUUUGCUCGAGAAUUAUUUUUGAACUUCCGAGAAAUACGUAAUGAUAGAAUAUCAAGGGAAGAUGGGUUAUGUAAUAAUAAUUCAUGUAUGUCAAACGCAGUUUUUCGCCUGUGGACUAAAUUUGAGAACGUUAGCGACAGUGAAACGUUAAUGAGCAAACGAUGAUAGUAUGAUAUGUAAGUAUUGUACGAGGUAAUGAAUACGAGUAUGAUACGAGGUAUUAUACGAGUAUGUAUGAAUGAUGAUAUGUCGUAUAUGAUGAAUAAGUAUACGAGUUAGUAUACGAGAAUAAUACGUAGAUUAUACGUUAUAAGUAUUAAGCAAUUGUAUUGGACUUGUAGGAUUGUGUAGAAGUUGUACAAGCCCAAGGGAAUGAAUGUUAAAGCCCAAUGUUUAUUAAUGGAAGCCCAAAGGUUAAGUUAAAGUUAAUUAAACCUAAAGCCCAAAGUAAGAACCGAAUCCAUGGAUCGAUCCAAUGGGUAAGAAUGACCCAUGUGGCAACCCAUGUGGGCCCCAUGAUCACAUGGAAUCAUCUUGGUGACCAAGUAAAGUGGUUUUACUUGGUGACCAAGAGAUGAAUAGUAAGGAGGUGGAGUUGUGGAGGUGGGAUUGUCUAAAAGUCCAUUAUACCCUCAACUAGGAAAUCCUAUAAAUAAGAGAAGAGGUGCUAGAUUAUUUACUUGUUAAAUUUUUCACUAACAUCUAAGUGCUUAUUUAGUAGAGAGAAAAAGCAAGAAAAGUAAGAGCUAGUCUUUCAUAAUCCAAGAAGCAAGAAGAAGAACAAAGUUGAUCAUUAAAGGUAAUGAUCCUAAACAAUGAUUCUCCCUCUCUUCAAUUGUUAGAGAAGUGAGUAGUAGUAGAGCAUGAUUGCUAAGAAGUAAUAAGAAUGGCUAAUCAAUGAACCUAAACCUUAAUAAGUCAUGUAUAAGUAAUUUAUAGUUAUUUAAGAUAUGGAUUAAUGAAGAACAUGUAUGAACUUAUCAUGUGUAUACAUUAAUGAAAUAUGUUUGGUUAGGAUGUUAGUAUGAUGGAAUGAAUCCAUUUGGAAUGAUGUAAAAAUCUUAAGUAACGAAGUUAUGGUGGAAUUUACGAGAUUAGACGAGAAUAGUUGAAAUCGUUAAAUUCUUGGAAUGGAAGUCAAAUUUUGACAUUGAACUCAGAAACGUUGGUUUUUGAUGGAGAAUAGUCUUAAUUGGAAUUUUAGAGUUGCGGACUCAAAAAUGACCCAAUUCCGACUUAGAACGAAGAAACGAGCUAUGAACGUUCACGAACGUUUAUCGUUUUCGUAAAAAUGAACUAAAAGGUGAAUUCCGUGUUAACGAAUUAAAAAAUGUAAAAUUCUUACAUGAACACGUAGUUCAUGUGAUUUGUGAGCUAAUGGCUUUUGAACGAGCCAAUUCGGACUUAAAAUGAACAAUUUAGGAGUCCGGGAAGUUCACAAAGCAAAAAGUCUGUCAAAACUAUCUGGUGCACAGAGUUGGCGCCGCAGCGCCAGACUUGACCAUCAGCCACUGAAGAGUGGCGCCGUAGUGUGGCAGGUAACAAAGGGACUCGUGCUGCAGCACCGAGUCCAGACCAUAGGCAUUACUAACUCGCGGCACAGCGCAAAACAAAGAAGAGAAGUUGGCGCCAUAGCGCCAGCACUAGGUUAUGCAUAUAGAAGAAGGCUUAUAAAGAUAGAAAGGAAAUUGGUUGAUUAGUAAUGAUCUAACACAUUAAGAAACCUAAAGUAAUAUCCUUCAAUGAUGUUAAAAACCUUAAGUAAUACAACUAAAGGCUGAAGAUAAGUUACUCGAAUGUGAAUGUAAAACAUAACGACAAAUCGGAACCAAUGUUAAACAAUCUAAUGAACAAUUAGAUUGAGAAGAAGGGUAAGAUAUAGUAGUAAACAUACUUGAUUAUAUAUGACCUAAUGUGGUAUGUUAUGUGAUCAUAUAUUGUAGAGACUUUAAAGACUCAAAAGGAAAAGUACUUAAACAGUAGUAGACGCUAAAGGCAAGUGUUCUAACCAUUGUCUAUGUUCAUUCUGGACAAGCUUUUUGAUUCAUUUAUCUUAUGCAUGAAUCGAUGUAUGAUGAAGUCGAAGCCAAUUCUUUCGGCUAAACUUAAGAUGUUUUUGGAUUUCUUAUAAUCUAUCAAAAUGUUGUCAAGUUUUUCCAAACUAUAUGUUGGUAUGGUUUUCAAAAGAAGACUGAGUACGCUAAACAAAUGUUUUGUCGUCAAACGACAUGCAUGUGAGGUUGCCAAAACUUAAACGCACAUACGUUUAAAGAAAGUAGUGUUGUACAACAUAGAGUACUAUAGGUUGAUCACCUAGACGUGCUCGUAUGUAAUGCCGGACUUAUGGACUUGGUGUCGGGUUGUCCUUUUUAAAGAAAGUAUGAAAUGCUCAAGGUCUUGGACCGAAAUUAAUGUUUUACUGAAUGUUUUUCAUUGUGAAACGUUUUAAGAAAAGAGAAGUGCUAUUUUGAAUUAUCGAUAAUACUUCAUAACUAUUCUUCAGUUAUUGAAGAUAUACGAUUCGUAUGUUUCAAGCACAUUGUUUAAAUGGAAUUGUCAUACUUGCUGAGCUAGUUAUGCUCACUCUUGCUUGAACCAUAUGAAUGCAGCUAAGACCGAACGGACCGAAGGAUCUGGUAAAGAUAAAGGGAAGGCUAAGGCGAACCUAUAGAUUACCUUUGUAAUAAUAUGAGUUGAAUGUUGUUAUUAUUUAAUAUUAUGACAAGAACACGUGUAAUGGUUAUAAAGAACUUGGGGAAUGGAAAUAUUGUUUGGAAUAUAUAUAAGACAUAUUCGUUCUUUUGAGGCAUUUCAAUUGAAUGUAUGUGUGAAUUGUAGCACCGUGUAGCACCAUAUGUCGGGUUGGAAGAUACCCGGAUUUGGGGGCAUCAUAGGUUGGUAUCAAAGCAGUAGGUUAUAAAACUUAAGGGUGGAAUUAAAACCUUAAGUCAUAACCUUAAGAAAAGUCAAAGAAGUAAAAGAUGAAAUUAACCUUAAAAAAUGAAUUAUAUAUGAUAUGUGUUUUUAUUAUUCUACUAACGUUGUUACAGUCAUUGGAGAUUCUGGAGUGGAAGUGGGAGCAUAUCACGAUGGACUUUGUGGCGGGACUUCCAAUUACUCAGAAGGGGUAUGACGCGAUUUGGGUAAUAGUGGACCGGUUGACGAAGUCAGCUCACUUUUUGCCAAUAAGCGUUAAGUAUAACUUAGAUCAGUUAGCUAAACUUUAUGUUAAAGAAGUUAUUUCCAGACAUGGAGUAUCCAUUUCGAUAGUGUCAGAUCGUGAUCCACGAUUCACAUCAAACUUUUGUAGGAGCCUGCAAGAACAGAUGGGGACGCAGUUGAAGUUAAGUACGGCUUAUCAUCCACAAACUGAUGGCCAGAGCGAGAGAAAAAUUCAGACGUUAGAAGAUAUGCUCAGAUCGUGCAUCAUGGAUUUUAAGGGUAGUUGGGAUGAUCAUCUACCAUUAGUAGAAUUUGUGUAUAACAAUAUUUAUCAUGCAAGCAUAGGCAUGCCGCCUUACGAAGCUUUAUACGAAAGGAAGUGCAGAACACCAUUGUGUUGGGAUGAAGUGGGAGAAAGCCGAAUGCUAGAACCUGAAUUGGUGCAGCAAAUAGCGGAUAUUGUCAAGCUGAUACGGAUGCGUCUCGUAGCAGCUCAAGACAAACAGAAAAAGUAUGCGGACUCGCAUCGAGUAAAUAGAGAGUUUGAAGUAGGCUCGUAUAUAUUUCUAAAGGUAUCUCCCUGGAAAGAAAAGAUACGCUUUGGAAAGAAGGAAAAGUUAAGUCCAAGGUUUAUAGGACUUUUUGAGGUUUUAAAACGGGUAGGAGAUGUAGCUUACAUGAUAGCAUUACCUCCAGACUUAGAACGAAUACAUAAUGUAUUUCAUGUAUCCGUGUUAUGUCCUUAUAAGCCAUAUUAUAAGCAUGUAAUAGAGUAUGAGCCUAUUCAUAUCGAGAAGGACUUAACGUAUGAAGAAAUGCCAAUUCAAAUCAUUGAUUGAAAAGAGCAAGUUCUGCAGAACAAAGUUAUACCUUCAGUAAAGGUGUUAUGGAAGAACCACGAUGCCGAAGAAGCAACAUGGGAACCGGAAGAAAAGAUGAGGAAGGAUUAUCCUCAGUUGUUUAUUUAAAUUUUUAAGCGAGAUUCUGGGGACAGAAUCCUUAUAAGGAGGGGUGAAUGUAACAACCGAGAAAUUCAGAUUUAUUGUAAAAUAAUUUUAUUUAAUUAAAUAAUGAAUAAAAUUAUAUGAUAUGUUAUUAUUAUAUGUUAAUAAGAUGAAGGUUGUUCUAUAACCUAGAUAUGUUGGAAUGUCGUAGUAUUUUGACUAAGUGAAGGAAUUAAAGUGUUUGGAUUUCUAAGACAAAAAUAAAAGUUUUUCAAAAAAUUUUCCAAAAAAUACUCACUGAUUUUUGCUCGGGAAUUAUUUUUGAACUUCCGAGAAAUACGUAAUGAUAGAAUAUCAAGGGAAGAUGGGUUAUGUAAUAAUAAUUCACGUAUGGAAAAUGUAGUUUUUCACCUACGGACUAAAUUUGAGAACGUUAGGGAAAGUGAAACGUUAAUGAGUAAACGAUGAUCGUAUGAUACGUAAGUAUUGUACGAGGUAAUGAAUACGAGUAUGAUACGAGGUAUUAUACGAGUAUGUAUGAAUGAUGGUAUGUCGUAUAUGAUGAAUAAGUAUACGAGUUAGUAUACGAGAAUAAUAAUAACGUAUUAAGCAAUUGUUUUGGACUUGUAGGAUUGUGUAGAAGUUGUACAAGCCCAAGGGAAUGAAUGUUAAAGCCCAAUGUUUAUUAAUAGAAGCCCAAAGGUUAAGUUACAGUUAAUUAAACCUAAAGCCCAAAGUAAGAACUGGAUCCGUGGAUCGCUCCAAUGGGAAUAAAUGACCCAUGGGGCAACUCAUGUGGGCCCCAUGAUCACAUGACAUCAUCUUGGUGACCAAGAGAUCAAUAGUAAGGAGGUGGAGUUGUGGAGGUGGGAUUGUCUAAAAGUCCAUUAUACCCUCAACUAGGAAAUCCUAUAAAUAAGAGAAGAGUUGCUAGAUUAUUUACUUAUUAAAUUUUCCACUAACAUCUAAGUGCUUAUUUAGUAGAGAGAAGAAGCAAGAAAAGUAAGAGCUAGUCUUUCAUAAUCCAGGAACCAAGAAGAAGAACAAAGUUAAUCAUCAAAGGUAAUGAUCCUAAACCAUGAUUCUCCCUCUCUUCAAUUGUUAGAGAAGUGAGUAGUGGUAGAGCAUGAUUGCUAAGAAGUAAUAAGAAUGGCUAAUCAAUGGACCAAAACCUUAAUAAGCCAUUUAUACGUAAUUCAUACUUAUUUAAGAUAUGGAUUAAUGAAGAACAUGUAAGAACUUAUCAUGUGUAUACAUUAAUGAAAUAUGUUUGGUUAGGAUGUUAGUAUGAUGGAAUGAAUCCAUUUGGAAUGAUGUAAAAAUCUUAAGUAACGAAGUUAUGGCGGAAUUUACGAGAUUAGACGAUAAUCGUUGAAAUCGGGAAAUUCUCGGAAUGGAAGUCAAAUUUUGACAUUGAACUCAGAAACGUUGGUUUUCGAUGGAGAAUAGUCUCAAUUGGAAUUCCAGAGUUGCGGACUCAAAAAUGACCCAAUUCCGACUUAGAACGAAGAAACGAGUUAUGAACAUUCACGAAAGUUUAUCGUUUUCAUAAAAAUAAACUAAAAGGUGAAUUCCAUGUUAACGGAUUCGAAAAUGUAAAAUUCUUACAUGAACACGUAGUUCAUGUGAUUUGUGAGCUAAUGGCUUUUGAACGAGCCAAUUCGGACUUAAAAUGAACAAUUUAGGAGUCUGGAAAGUUCGAUAAGAAAAAAGUCUGUCAAAACUAUCUGGUGCACAGAGUUAGCGCCGCAGCGCCAACCAAGGCACUAUCCUUGGCGUCGCAGCACCAGACUUGACCAUCAGCCACUGAAGAGUGGUGCCGCAGCACGACAGGUAACAAAGGGACUCAUGCCACAACGCCAAGUCCAGACCAUAGGCACUGCUAACUUGCGCCGCAGCGUGGAACAAAUAAGAGAAGUUGGAGCCGCAGCGCCAUCACUAGGUUAUGCAUAUAGAAGAAGGCUUAUAAAGAUAGAAAGGAAAUUGGUUGAUUAGUAAUGAACUAACACAUUAAGAAACCUAAAGUAACAUCCUUGAAUGCUGUUAAAAAACUUAAGUAAUACAACUACAAGUUAAAGAUAAGUUACUCGAAUGUGAAUGUAAAACAUAACGACAAACCGGAACCAAUGUUAAAAAAUCUAAUGAACAAUUAGAUUGAGAAGAAGGGUAAGAUAUAGUAGUAAACGUACUUGAUUAUAUAUGACCUAAUGUGGUAUGUUAUGUGAUCAUGUAUUGUAGAGACUUUAAAGACUCAAAAGGAAAAGUACUUAAACAGUAGCAGGCGUUAAAGGCAAGUGUUCUAACCCUUGUCUAUAUUCAUUCUAAACAAGCUUUAUGAUUCAUGUAUCUUACACAUGAAUUGAUGUAUAAUGAAGUCGAAGCCAAUUCUUUCGGCUAGACUUAAGAUGUUUUUGGAUUUCUUAUAAUCUAUCAAAAUGUUGUUAAGUUUUGCCAAACUAUGUUGGUAUGAUUUUCAAAAGAAGACUAAGUAUGCUAAACAAAUGAUUUAUCGUCAAACGACAUGCUCGUGAGGUUGCCAAAAUUUAAACAUACAUACGUUUAAAGAAAAUAGUGUUGUACAAUAUAGAGUACUAUAAACUGAUCACCUAGACGUGCCCGUAAGUAAUGUCGAACUGACGGACUUGGUGUCGGGUUGUCCUUUUUAAAGAAAGUAUGAAAUGCUCAAGGUCUUGGACCGAAAUUAAUGUUUUACUGAAUGUUGUUCAUUGUGAAACGUUUUAAGAAAAGAGAAGUGCUAUUUUGAAUUAUCGAUAGUACUUCAUAACUAUUGUUCAGUUAUUGAAGAUAUACGAUUUGUAUGCUUCAAGAACAUUGUUUAAAUGGAAUUGUCACACUUGCUAAGCUAGUUAUGCUCACUCUUGCUUGAACUAUAUGAAUGCAGCUAAGACCGAACAAACCAAAGGAUCUGGUAAAGAUAAAGAGAAGGCUAAGGCGAACCUAUAGAUUACCUUUGUAAUAGUAUAGGUUGAAUGUUGUUAUUAUUUAAAAUUAUGACAAGAACACAUGUAAUGGUUAUAAAGAACCUGGGGAAAAGAAAUAUUUUUUGGAAUAUAUAUAUAUAUAUAAGACAUAUUCGUUCUUUUGAGGCAUUUCAAUUGAAUGUAUGUGUGAACUGUAGCACCAUGUAGCACUAUAUGUCGGGCUGGAAGAUACCUGGAUUUGGGGGCGUCACAAUUUGUGCUCACCAUUUUGCUUCACAAUUUCUUUCUGGUAAUAAGAGUGUAGCUAGGUCGAGCGGGGAUAACAAGAAAUUAAAGUGAUGGGCUGUGAUUGUUGAAGUCUCAAUAUAUUAUAAAACAGCAUAACAAUAUAUGAUUGUAUUAAGCACUUACAGUGUGUGUGUCAUAUUUUAUGUAACGACCCCAAAAUUCAUACAAUUUAAUUCUCAACUUCGGUCGUUAAUAACACGUCUACCUUAUGAUUUUACAUCAUUAUUCGAUGUUAAAAUUUAUAAAAUGCGGAAUAAUUUAAACUUUUAUGUCUUUUUACUUUAAUUCCCUGAAUCAAAACCUUUAUCAUCUACAUGUUUUUGAAUCAAUUUUAUUUUAUGAUUCACUUUAUCACUGUUGUUAUAUAAAAUUUUACAUUUCAAUCCGAUAACCUUUACAUAUUAGAUAACUCUAACUUUAGCUUUACAACUCAACAUAAAACUAUACAUCAUAAAACGUUUAAUACAUCUCAUGAAUUUUAAUCAUGGUAUAAAGAAAUAACAACUUUAGCUAAAAUUGUAAUGCCCGAGAAAAUCGGAUUUUUAUGACAAUUAAAUUUUUAUUUGAUUAUGUGAAUUAAAUGAAUUUAAUUGAUUGUUUUGUGAGUAAGAUAUGUGAAGGUCGUUCUACGACCUAGAAUGUGCUAACGUGGUUAGUAUUCUGGCUACGUGCUAGAAUUAUUUGUUUGGAAUUUCCAAGACGAAAAUAAUUGUUUUCUGAGAAAUUUCCGUAAAAACACUAUUCAUACGUUUCUGUUCGGAGAAUUAUUUUGAAAUUCCGAGAAACGCGUAAUGAUAGAAUAUCGAGAUAAGAUGAAAUAUCUAAUAAUAUUUCAUUUAUGGCAAACGCAGUUUUUUACCUGCAGACUUAAAACCUAAGGGUUGAGUAUAUUGAUUUCUGAGAAGGAAAUAAUAUGCGUAGAAGGAAUUGUGGGGUAAGCCCAUGUUAAGGCCCAUUUUUAAUUUAAUUAAGCCCAAUUCAUUAAAAUCAAACCGUGGAUCGAACAGGUGGGUCACCGAAUAGGUAAAACCCAUCGGGUAACCCAUGAGAUGACCCAUGACAUGAGUGGGCCGGCCACUUGGUGUGCAAGCCAAGUUUGAGGCUUGGUCACCAAGUAUUUUACUUGGUGACCACAUAUGAAUAGUAAGGAGGUUGGGUGUGUUAAGUCUAUUAUGCCCUCCAUUCUAGUUUCCUAUAAAUAGAAAGCUAGGUUGAUUUAUUUGGGAGUUUUACAAAUUUCCAACUUAGAUUAUUGAGAGAGAAAGAGAGCUAGACUUGCAAAAUAUACACUUUGUUAGCUAAUUAUAGUGUGCUAUAUGAAUAUAUCAUAUAGAUUCUGUAAAGAUUGUGGUCAAUCGAUUAAGUUAUUUGAAGACGCUGAAAGGCAUGUUUUCUUAACUCUUAUCUAACUUUCAAGUUAUCCAAGUUUUAUGUGAUUCGUUGAACUGAUUUGCACGACUGAUUUUAAAGAAAGGGUCGAUGCCAGAUUUUAACUUGGCUAGACUAUUCGUAAUAUAUAGAUUGAUUGAUAUUCAUAUCUUUCUAUAUAGAAAUGUUAACAUUAUCCUAUGCCAAGUAAUUGGUACGGACGUGAAGGUAAGGUUUGUCUAUGAACAAACAAAAGUAUUUUUCAUCGAUUAUUCGAUGGGCACGCCAGUUUUCCAAAAAUAUUAAACGUAAAUACGUUAAAUGAAUGUGUUGAUCAACAUAGAGUACUAUAGGCUGAUCACCUAGAAGUGCUCAUAAGUAAUGCGGAUGAACGGCCUUAGUGCUGUGGACUCCUUUUCGAGUAUGAAAACUGAAAGUUACUGUUCAUGGUCUAUUGACCAGUUCAGAAUUCCUAAUCUAUUCUAUACUUUGGGAAUUGAUGUUAUGAACUGUUAAAGUAUUAUCAUUUCAUAAUACUUCAUAACUAUUGUUCAGUUAUGUCAGAAUUGUUAUAUAAUUCACGAAUGUGGUAUUAUUGUUAUCCUUGAUUAAACUUGCUGAGCUGUCAUGCUCACUUCUUGCGUGAAUUAUAUAAUUGCAGUUAAGGAUGAACGUACUGUGAAUGCCAAGAGAGAUAAGGGCAAAGCUAAGAUGGAUGCUUAGCCAUUGUGUAAUAGAUUAGUAAGUUUGUAUGUAUUAUACAUUAUGAACAAUGAACGAUGUAAUUGGUUUAUGAACCUGGGAAGGAUUAUAUUUUGAUUGUAAUUAGAAGAUAGUAAUUACAUUCAUUUUGUUGUAUUUCAAUGGAAUGAUUUUAUGGAUUUAGUACAGUGGAGCACCAUAUGUUGGGUUGGAAGAUACCCGAAUUUGGGGGCGUCACAGGUUGGUAUCAAAGCUUUAGGUUAUAAAACUUAAGAGGGGGGGGGAAACCUUAGGCUAAUAACCUCGUAAGGAAGGUAAAGUCCGAGGAAUGAAAUUCAAGUCCAUUGAAUUAAUAAGGUAUUGAGAUAACUCAGUAUCGAAAGAAUUAAAAGUUGGAAAUUAAUCUUAAAGAUAUUAAAUGUGAUUUGUGCUUAUAAGAUUGUGUAUUAUGUACUAAUCAACGUGUUAUGUGUUUGUAGAUGUCAACUGAUAGCUUGAUGUUUAGAAACGUGGAUAUGAUAAGUGAGGAUUCAGUGAAUCAAGUUGAGAUAGUACCAGUGCCAGUGGCAGAGGUACCGAUAGUUGUACUAGAUGACUCAGACAUUGAGGAGUACAUAUCUGAGGAGACUAUGGGUUUAGCAUCAUACUUGAACGAGAUGCUAGACGUGGAGGAGGAAAUGGAGGUGACAUCGGUUAAUACGGUGGUGUCUACUCAGGAGCCGACACCUCCGGAUGCAAUGAGAGCAUUGUAUCUAUCUGUGCUGGAUAGGAAUGUGCAUCUGCGCACUGUGAUAGAAACUCAGAAUGAGGAGAUAACCGCCCUGUAUAAGUUUCUAAUCUUGGUCAUUUACUAUUCCUAUUUUACAUCAAAUUCGAUGUUAUACAAAUAUACGAAAUAAUUUAAACUUUUUCAAUCUCCUUUGAAAAAUAAAUCUUUUAUUGAUAUCUUAACUCGAAUCAAUUACAAAUCCCUGAAUCAAAUUAUUCUAUGAUUCACUUUGUUAAAUUUUUGUAUAAAUCUUUACAUCUCAAUUCGAAUUUCUCUAUGUAUCACAUAGUACAACUUAACAGAUAUUACACAUUAUAAACUACUAUCAUGUAUGUCUACUAGAACCUAAACAUGGUUCAAGAGCAUCUAGUUAAAUAAUAAAUCAAUCUCCUUUGAUGCAAUUGGACUUUAUCAAUCUAGUAGUACAUAACCUUUACCGUGUAUCCUUAACCUGCAAAAGUGGUUAUUUGCAAGGGUGAGCUCCACAGCCCAGCAAUUCUAACAGUUUUCAUGCAGCACAUAACAUAUAAUAUCAUAUUGAGUUCAUGCAUUCAUAAUCAAUUAAUAUUUACUAUGCAUGUUACUUCUCAUAUAACAGGUAUAGAGAUUUAUUUCACAAGCAUAUCAUCAAAGAUCAACUUUCACAUUUCAUACAUAUCUCAUAUGCAUUUCAUAUAUAUACAUCAACAUUUGGAUAGCAUAAUAUAGAUCAACUAACAAUCAAAUUCAUAUAACAAAUAGGAACUGAAAGACUUUCCUGAUUUGUAGUUUAUCAACUAUGACUUAACUGCUUAAAGCUUAUCUGCACUUCGUGUAUUCCUACACGGUUAUAUAAUCAUGGAUUCAUAUCCAUUAGUAACAUAUUUCAUGCAUUCUCAAUGUAAUACUAUUGUUAUAUUGUUCUUUAACUAGGUUCGUAAAACCUACACUUCACUUUCUCAUCAUACGCUUAGAAUAGCUAGGUAUGUCUAGGUAUACCUUAACCACUCGUAUAUGACAUCAACAUUCAUAUAUAGCUACCACACACUUGACUCACUACGUGUUCGACACAUUUAAAACUCAUAGGUAAGUUCAAACGUAUGCAUAAACGUCUAACUUAGUUGUAACUUCAUACCACAUCACCUAUUCUAUAUUCUCAUAGCACACACCUGAUGGUAAUACAUCACAAAUUCAACGACGUGUCAUUGCUUUAUAUCUUGAAAACAUCCUUUGGACUUUAACAUUUUAAAAGUCUAAAUUAACAUUCAUCUUUAUCACAUAGGAUGCUUCCUAACACAUUACAUAGCAUAGUGGUCACAUAUUGCAAUUUAAAGUAAUCAUACAAGCAUGCUUCAAACAUCAGAUCAAAAUAAAACACAACUUAUCCCAAACUGCAGGAUGGCGCAGCUGUGCCCUGUCCAGGCUUAGGGACGGCGCAGCUGCGCUGUCCCCUGGCCAGACCAAGACUGAGCUUUGCACUUCCUAUUUUCAGUCCAUACUUUAAUACACUUAGACACUUACACUUAAAAUGCAUACACGCUAGAGGUCUUUACAUACUUGUAAGACCAUUUCAAGUUCAACAUUAUAUGUUAGGGACUUUAGUUUAGGAUUUCCACGAAUCAAAACCAUAUAGGGUUAUGUAAUCACUAGGUGUACUAAUUAGCCUUAUGUUCUCAUAAAGAGGCCACAUAAUCUUUACUACACAUGCUCGUACAUAUUCACAUCUUUUACUCAUAGCUAUUGUAAUUUAACACUUUAAAACAUGCUUUAACCUCAUGCUUGGUUUACUUCCAUUAUGUUUAACAUAUAAGACUUAUGUUUAGUGACAUAAUGAAACAUAACAUGGCAUCUCAAACUAAAUACUCAUAUGUAAUACAACUUAAGUUUGAAAACAUGCUCGAGGUUGCCUUUGAAAUCAUUUUUCAUGAAUGAUGCGACAUAGGACAUAUAAAUCAUAUCUAGGGAUAUUCUAGACAUAUCAUGACAUAUAAAUCCGUUAGAAUAUAGAUAUCCAUGCGAUGCAACUAGAUUCUAAAAAUAUGUUCAAGUUUACUUUUGAAACCAUUGUAGACUUAAACAAUGCCAUUCAAUACAUACAAGACAACUUCAAAGGUCUAAACAUACAUAGUCAAGUCAUGUUAUCAUUCUGGCAAGGUCAGAGUUUAAAUCAUAUAGUAGUCAUGCACGUUAGUUCACUAUGUUAAGUUUUUUCUUGAAAAACUUCUCUACACAAAGCCUAAUAACGUGGUCAUGAACAAAGGAACUAUGAAUCACAUGUCAUGUUCAUUUAUGUGUAAAAUCAGUCAUGUAUAUAGACCACUAAGCUCAAAAUUUGCAGAACAUAAACUUUAACAAAGUUUGUUUUCAAAACUAAAAGUCCUUGUUAAAGAUCUUCUACCAAAUCAUGCUAAUCUUAGUAAAACAUGCUCACUUAGCAUAAUAUACUUAUACAUACACAUUACACAUGCUUGCAUGCUAGUUUAAGCCAAAAUGAUUGCCUAACAUUAAUCAGAUUUGAAAACAGUCAGCAAAAACCAAUUUCAGAGGCCGGCGCAGCUGCGCUGCGCCUCAGUGUUAUUCCGGCGCAGCUGCGCCGUGUCCGGUUCGAGCCAAGAAGAGUCUGCUUCGGCAGAACUCCAUCCCAACCACAAAUUAUUCACCAAUUCGAUUCUAAACACUCAUAUAACAAUUUAGACAUACUUAUAUGAUCAUAUAACAACUAUAUGGACAUCACCCAACCUCAUUAACAUGCAAUUCCACAAAAUCAAGGAUUUGAAUUACAAGAACUCAAGACUCCAUUUUUACAGAGAAUGAAAAUGGAAACAUGGAAAAAGGUGUUAUACCUCUGUAAUGUGAAAGAACUUGCUCCUACUUGAACUCUUAAACUCUAAGAAUGCUUGUAUGCUUUCAACCUUUACUUCGAAAAAUCUCAGACAACUUCAAGAACAUCAACUGAUAAACAUGGUUUCUAUUUAUAGAAGAAGUUUGGACUAGAUAAUGUCUUAGCACUGAGGUUGAAUUCAUGGUGCAAUGCAAUGAAACAAUGGUUCAAGAAGGGUGGCUCAACCACUCCAUACCAACCACCAAGCUAGCCAUGAUCAUCUAGGAUUUAGCCUUUUGAAAACAUACGUAUUAUAGCUUGUAGUCACUAUUCAUACCCUUGUGUCACUCAUUUUGGGUCAAAAGAAACUCUCAGCAACACUUAGCCUACACACUUGUACACAUUUUUACUCUUAUGCUAUAUCAACCAUAUAUUAUAACCUAAUGUCACCAUAUGAAUAAACAUUUCAAGUUAGUAGGUGCUACGUAAUAUACAUAUAAUUCAUGUACAUUAAAUACACGCAUUAAAAAAAUGCAGUUAGGAAUUAUUGCCCGAGUAGUUCCAAAAUUAUUUCUACUACUCACAUAACCACAUUAUAACAUUAUUUAAUGUUUAUUCAAACAUUUAAUCUCCUACCAAUUUCUAGAAUACGCAGAUAUUUAAUUAUUUCUGUAUUACCACCACAUAUGAUUUCACUGUACCACUUGGUACCUUAUAUCAUUAGUCUCAAUUAAAUGUCACACCCCACGUAUUCUUAAGCCAUAGGUAUUAUAUAUUAUUACUGCUCACAUUUUCCAUAUUACCCAUAGUAAUAUUAUUUAAUGAUUAUACCCACAUAAAUAUUUUAAUUGGGCUAAUUAUCAUUUAGUUGGGUACUUUCAACCCACACAAUAAUUAAUUAAUAUUAAUCAUUUCUUUUCAAUAAUUAUUAUGAAUUCCUCUAAUUAAUAGAAUAAUAUUCCAUAAUAUCACUUAAUUAGCCACUAAUUAAUACGGGUUAAUUAGUUAAACCUUUUUCAAAUCCAUGCAUGGACAACUUAACCAUCAUUUAGGAUUUUAUUAUCCUUGUGAGUCCUUAAUAUCCAUUUCUUAGAUUUUAAAUUCCAAAACUGAUAUUACAGGCCGGCGCAGCUGCGCUAGUCAUAGGCUUAGUAAUGGCGCAGCUGCGCCAUACCAAAUUCUCAGGCAGACAAGUUCUGCAUUAGCAGAACUGAAACCUUACAUUUCUAAACACUUUACACCUCCUCCUUAAGCGUUAACUCGUCUAAUCAUAAAUCCCCUCUUUGGUUUCACACCAUCGGUUACUAUUUUCCUUAACAAUUUAAGAAUCACACUUCGAAUUCUAAAACUCUAUUUCUCUCAACUAUAAAAUCUCAUUUAUAGUACUUCUUUCCACCAAUAACACAAAACUUGAAUAUAACACAUACAUAUAUUCCUUUAAUCUUCACUUCUCGCCGUGUAUCAAUUCACUCAAUAAUUCUCUAACAACUUUAAAGGUAUAUCGAUUCUCUUCUCUUGUCAACAAUGUACAUAUAUACAAUUCCAAACCUAACACACCUCGAGUCUUUAAUAGUAUUCAAUAUAGUAAACUGAGUGGUUUCCCACAAACAACCAACAAAUCAGUUUCCGUCUCGUCUACACUGUUUUCACAGUGAGUUAGAUCGGUUACCAAUUCGUAUAUACCUCUGCUCUCUGAAGGAAUCGUUUAGCCCAACUCCUAUACGUCAACCAUUAAAGCGUAAGAUUGCACUACUUUAGACUUGAUAUUCACUCGUACAUAUACUCAAGAAAUUGGUGAUUAUCAAAGAUAUUUUAAUGUCACCAACUUACUACUAUAAAAUAAUUCUAUAAAUUAUUUAAUGUCGGUAGAUAAAUCAUAUCCAUCUUCAUAUAACUUUAUCUCUACACUUUCUAACAAAUAUAUAAUAAUGGUAUAUAUUUAUUAAACACAACAUUACUAAUUACAUACCUCAUAUUACCCUAUGUAACACAAUACCACAUACCUGGUAACACAUUAUAUAUUUUUAUUUGAACCCUUCACAAGCCUUAAGAAUUUUAUUCACUAAAUUCUUAUUUUAAUAUUUUUUGAAAAUUCGGGUUCUUACAUGAUCUCCCCCUUAUAAGGAUUCCAUCCUUGGAAUCACCGAAACCACCUCUACUCGAUGGUAUUUCCAAUAUUACAUAUUCUUUUGAAUAAUUUUAUCCAUUCUCUUUUCAGAAAUUUCAUUAUAACUUGCUCACUUGCAUUCUACCACAUUCUCCUUUCUAAGGAACACUCUACUCACUACAUUCAUCACACAAAAUAAUAAGAGUCUUCCACGAUUUUUCAAUAGUCGGGAAGUAGAAUGAAUAACUCGCAUUCCAAAUUAUGCUGAGGGGUCACACAAGAUUGUGAACCAGUGCUUCAUCACAAUCCUUCGCACUACAAACCAGAAUGUUUAUCAAUCACAAAGACUGAAAACAUCCUCUACAUGUACGCUAGGUGGCCAGCCUAUUGUACCACUACGUUGGGCCGCAACGUAGUGUUUUGUAACGACUACAUGCGUUACGCUUGGAACCAUUGUCCCCAAAAACAUGUCCCCUUAUACGGUUUUUCACCUCAGCUUUUCCACAUCUAAAUCUGCACUAUAGUAAUCUGGCUUGGUGUAAAUAGUCAAGAACGCUUGAAUUUCACAAAUAUUUUUCAACAUUCGUCUAGCCAAAUCUAAUAGCUUAGACUUAAUUGAUCUUCUUUAUAACUUAAAAGAAAACCAAAAUUCUUUUAUGACGUCAUGAUGUCGUACCAGAUUAGUAGUACGUUGAGGAUUCCGCCAUUAUGUGACUUUGUCAUAUUACAUCAUACCAUAGUGGGCUGACGAUCUUUCGAUCACAACCAUCACUAGGUUUAACUGUAUUGAUGACUCCAUCGUUUACCAUUUCUACACCAUACCAAAUGAUGUAAAUGGUCAGAAAUACCUUUUGAAAAUUUUUAAAUCAUUUUGUCUUAGUCGGAACAAUUAGCAUAGACAUUUGGAUAACGGUAUUGUUUUUAAAACAUCAUUGGUUCAAUCACAUGAUCCAAAGUUUUUUUCGAGAAAACAGAAAUGCCAACAUUAUCACGAAGUCAAUAAAUUUUGAAAAUCUAGCAGAGCUAGAAGAUUUAGAAAAUCCAUAUUUCUCCAUCAACUUUACUCCAUUGCUUCAUUCUAUCAAUCUUUAACACCAUCAAUGCUUACUAUACCAAAAUUUCUAACUUCAUAACAUAUAUAUACCCGAUAUAGUUCAUCAAACUUACCACACUUUGGAAAUUCAGGACUUGCCAUCAUCAUAUGAGUUUAAGAACUUACCCUAGUCAGACCAUAGGCUUCCAUUCGCUGAGGGGUUCAAACCAUAAGAUCAUGAGUCACGAACGUACCAUAAGUAUGCGUUUUAAGAACUCGCAACUUAACCUUAUAUUCUCUAACUAUAACCUCUCUAUUUGUUAUACACAUGAGAAAAGAAUCACCUUCUCAACAGGUAUAUAGCAAAUAGCGCGACAAAAAUGUUUCAAUGAUUAUCAGUGCCAGAACUAAGUGGUUUUUACACCAAGUACAAUUCCCCGCCCAUAAUAAGGAAUCAUACCACUCAGCUAUUGACAUGGGUCCUCAAUUAAAAUCCCACUUAACCCUAUCUUACACUUUACUUGAUACGAAUUCUUCGUAUCUCAUCACAUACAACUCCUCAUGAGUUCAUAUCGUACCAUUUCAUAGUACAUUCACUUAUAGCAUCAAGCUAUACACACUUAGUCAUUACAGACUAUUUAUCACUUCAUAGCUUAAUCUGAUCAUGUCGUGAUCAUCAAUUUACCUUAGGGUUCUUUCCCUAUUAUCAACAAAACUCCGUCUGAGUUUAUUCUUAUUAUAUUUGUCAUCUUUAUCUUAUAGAUAUCAACUUAACAUUUUUAUUACCAGAGUUAGUAAUUCUUGAAUCCUCAUUUUCUAGAUACUUCAAGAUUCUUCUUUGAAUCUUCACUUAUAUAUAUUUUAAUCUUUAUCGUUCUCUCUCUCUCUAAGGUUAUAGCCUAAGGUACACUUACCUAAGUUUAUAACCUAUAGCUUUGAUACCAACCUGUGAUGUGACACCCCCAAAUCCGGUACUUCCAUUUCCACAAGAUUUGGUGUUCACUGUACAACAUCAUCUAUCUAUCUACCCAUAAAUAAAUGCAAACCAAGCAAUCGAUAGAAUUAAAUAAUAAAUCUCCCCUUAAGGGGUUACAUCAACUACACCAUAAUAAUAAAAUCCCAGGUUACUCUAACCUUAAAACAUCUAUGCGGAAAUCAUAAACAAAUAAGUCUUAAGUAACAUCAAUUCUAAUCAUCAUUACAUAAUCACAAUAAUAAAACAGUCUUCAUUACUUGCUAAUCUUGCCCUUUUCCUUACUAGUGGAAGGUUCGUCUGCUCUUUCGUUCUUAACUGCAAUGUUAUUAUUAUGCAAGAGUGAGCACAAUUUCCCACAAGUAUAACAAUAUAACAAAUGAAUAAUAACAUGCGAAUGAAUUAACAGCUUCUGAAAUAAAGCUCAACUUUUGAAUCAAGAAUGAAUAACAAGAAUCAAAAGAACUUCUGAGGGUCAUAAGACCUUGAACAAUGUCCUAGGUUAUCAAGUGUUUAUACUUGAAACCUUUAACAGUCAUAAGACUAUGGACUCUUCUUCUCGUACUUAGGAGGAUUAGCCCUUAGUACCAUACUAUGCACAAUAUCUUAACGCUAACGCGUAAGUAAUCCCCUUUACAGGGUUGUUUAUCUUAGUUUGACAUUCGAGUCCGCACCAAAGGAAGUUUGGUUUGGAUAAUUCAUCAAGGGUUCUAAAAUUUAGAACGCUCAUCAACUAUGGACUAGUCGAAUCAAUAAGGGUUCGCUAGUCUAACAAGGUUUAACAAUAACUGAUAAUUUAACUUGGAUACAAUCUCAAAAGUAUACAAUAGAAUAAUUAUUGUAUAACAACAUCAUGCUUGAAGGAUUAAUAAGCUUUAAUAUACGAAACAGACUUAAUCAAUAACAAUGAGAGUUUGCUUAAUGAUAACAAGUAGGGUUAGGAAACUUGCCUCGUGCGUAGAUUACACGUUAAUAAAACUCGUUCUUUGAUUUAAAUCCUACAUAUCAUUUACAUUCACAAUACCGGUCAAUUAUAACUUACUAAACAUCACACGUUUAUUAUUUUUCUAACUCGAGUUCAUGACUAUACUUAGUCAAUUACUACACUUAUUGUCAAAAAUUAAGACUUCACAAACAAUAAGGUAACUAUGCAUUUGAUCAUUCAAUUCACACGUAAUUAUGUUAUGGACGUGCUAAGAAUUUAUUUUAACACCUCAUUAUAUGUCUAACAAGUCUUUAUAUUCAUUAGACUAAGUUACCAUCACAUUUCUAUACUUGAACACUUUAAAAAAACAUUUUCUAGACAUUCUGCUAAGUGGCGCUGCGGCGCCACUUUUGUAGUGGGUCUUGGCGAUGCGGCGCCAUGGCGCUGCGGCUUGGUACUUGGCACUGCGGCGCGAUGGCGCUACGGCGCGGGAAAUGAACUAGGAGUUGGCGCCGCGGCGCCACACUCCAAACUCUGAAUUUUCAGUUCGCGAAGGACACAGAAUUCAACGAAAUAAACACUACAUAAACAUUAAUUUCACCAAAUUACACAUACCCACAUGUUAUAAUUCAUACAUAAUCAUUACCCAACACUUAUAGAGUAAUUUUAACCCAUUAAAACACAUAAUUACAGAAUUUGAGCAUGCAAAUUGUACUAUUCUUGAUGUUCUUGAAGUUUUGAACAUAAAUCCUAAAAUUCAACGCCACAGAUUCGUUAUAAAACCAAAUCCAACCAUUCAAAUUUCGUUUUGUUCAUUUUAUCAUGUAUAUUCACGUAUAAGUGGAAAUUUUGUAGAAACAUUUAUGGUUGACAUAUUAAAAUUAUGUAUAAGGGCCAUAUGGCCAAAUAACAUACUCUGUACAUUUUUGAAACAACAAGUCAUAAUAUUAUGAAACUUAUGAUAUGGAAUCAUAUACAAUAUAUAUAAAACAUGCUAUGCUACACGAAUUAUUACAUAUAUCCUUAACAAAGUUUCCCAAUUUACAGAGACUCACAGAAAGUAUAAAAGCCAUUUUUUUCAUAAAAACUACAUGACGUAAAAAGAAAUUGGGUUGAAUAGAAUUACCCAAGCGUAUAGUGAAAUAAUAGGAGAUGAAUUCCUUCUCAGAUGACUCUUACAAUCCUCUAAAAAAAUCUAUGAAUUCUCAACUCUUUCUCUCUAUCUCUGUCUGUUACACUUUCUAGACUUAGGCAAAUAAUGAAGAAGAAAGAAGAAGACGUAUUGUUAAUAAGGAGAAGAACUGACGCGCGUUGGUGGUCAGUUACCUAUCAUGGGUAACUGCUCCCAACCCCCAUUAGUGUCAUGUUUGGCUAGAUAGAAAAGGGUUUAAAACCAUUUAAUUUAAUUAAACUUUAUCAUAUAGUUUAAAUAAUGUCACACCCAUUAUAAAAUAAAUCUAAUAUCUUAUUUAAUUUACUUUAAAUAAAAUAUCAUGAUUCUUCAAUAAUGCACAUAGUCACAUAAUUAAAUUUUCUCAUUUAAUAAUAAUAUCAAAUUAUUAAAUCUCUAAUUAAUAAUUAAAUUAAUUAAAAUACAAUCAGGCUUAUUAAAUAUUUCUUUUAAUACAAUAAGCUCACAUAAUCANNNNNNNNNNNNNNNNNNNNNNNNNNNNNNNNNNNNNNNNNNNNNNNNNNNNNNNNNNNNNNNNNNNNNNNNNNNNNNNNNNNNNNNNNNNNNNNNNNNNGUAAAUAAAUGAGGAUAAUUCUUUAUCAUAUUCUCUUCGAGUUCCCAAGUAGCUUCUUCAGCAUUGUGGUUCCUCCAAAUUACCUUAACAGAAGGUAUUACUUUAUCUCUCAGAACUUGUUCUUUGCGGUCGACAAUUUGAACUGGAAUUUCUUCGUAAGAUAAAUCUUUAUCAAAAUGUAGGGGUUCAUAUUCAAUCACGUGCUUGUAAUCGGGUUUGUAGGGUCGUAGGACUGAGACAUGGAAAAUGUUGUGGACAUUCUCUAGAGCUGGAGGUAAGGCUACCUCAUAAGAAACUUCUCUGACCCUUCGUAGAACUUCAAAGGGUCCAAUGAAUCUUGGGCUUAAUUUCCCUUUCUUUUCGAAUCUGAUCUUUCCCUUCCAGGGAAAGACCUUUAAAAACACAUAACUACCCGGCUCGAACUCAACAUUCUUACGGUGUGGAUCGGCGUAUUUCUUCUGUCUAUCUUGAGCUGUUGUCAAUCUUGUUCGGAUCACUUUGACUAUUUCUGCUAUUUGUUGUACCAAUUAUGGGCCUAGUAAUUGUCUUUCGCCAACUUCGUCCCAAUAUAGCGGAGUUCUGCACUUUCUGCCUAAUAGCGCUUCAUAGGGUGGCAUGCCAAUACUAGCGUGGUAACUGUUGUUGUACCCGAACUCAACGAGCGGUAGAUGAUCAUCACAAUUUCCUUUAAAGUCCAUUAUACAAGCUCUUAAUAUAUCUUCCAAGGUCUGAAUUGUUCUUUCACUCUGUCCAUCUGUCUGAGGGUGAUACGCCAUACUCAUUCGCAACUGUGUCCCCAUGCAUUCCUGUAGACGAUUCCAGAAAUUCGACGUAAAACGCGGAUCUCUAUCAGAAACAAUUGACACUAGAACUUCGUGUCUUGAAACGAUCUCUUUCACAUAUAACCUCAUCAACUGAUCUAAGUUGAAUCUAAUUUUGAUCGGAAGGAAGUGUGUGGAUUUCGUCAAUAGGUCAAUAAUAACCCAUACUGCAUCGUAGCCUUUCUAAGUUGUCGGUAGGCCAACCACGAAAUCCAUUAUAAUAUGCUCCCAUUUCCAUUCUGGGAUCUCUAAAGGUUGUAAUAACCCACUCAGCCUCUGAUGUUCUGCUUUAACUUUCUGACAUGUCAGACACUUGGCAACAUAUUCUGCAACCUCUCGUUUCAAGUUUGGCCACCAAAAAUGUUGACGAAGAUCUUGGUACAUCUUGGUGCUACCAGGGUGAAUCGAAUAUCUUGAGUUGUGAGCCUCGCUCAAAAUUUCUUUCUUAAUCUCUGGUACUGGCGGUACCCAAAUUCUGCUCUUAAAUCUUAGUAGUCCCUCACUGUCUAUUUUGAAUCUCGGUUCAGUCCCUUCAGAUAUCUUCUUCUUCACUUUCUCACAUUCUUCGUCCUGAAGUUGAGCCUCCUUAACUUUAUCCAGUAAAGUUGUACCAGCUUGCAUCUGGAACAACUUCUCAUCGAUCUCCAUAGGAUACUUCACUUCUAAUUCCAGCUUUUCCAAUGCUAAAAUUAGCUCCUCUUGAGCGGUCAACAUCAUGAAUUUCUCCCGACCUUUUCUACUUAGGGCAUCGGCCACCACAUUUGCCUUACCCAGAUAGUAUAAAAUCUCACAAUCAUAGUCCUUAAUUAAUUCCAACCACCUUCUUUGAAGCAUGUUCAAGUCUUUCUGUGUAAAAAUAUAUUUCAGACUCUUGUGAUCUGUAUAUAUUUCACACUUCUCCCCGUAAAGAUAGUGCCUCCAAAUUUUUAAAGCGAAAACCACUGCAGCUAACUCCAAGUCAUGGGUCGAAUACCCCUUCUCAUAAUCUUUCAGUUGUCGUGACACAUACGCAAUGACUUUGCAAUUUUGCAUAAGCACAUAACCAAGUCCUUUAUACGACGUAUCACUAUAAACCAUAAAAUUUCUUGUGUCAUCUGGAAGAGAUAACACAAGUGUUGUACUCAACCUCUUCUUUAAUUCUUGAAAGCUUUCCUCACACUUUUCCAUCCAAAACAAAUUUCACCGAUUUUCUAGUCAAAUUCGUCAACGGAGUUGCAAUCUUGGAAAAAUCCUAAAUGAAUCUUCUGUAAUAACCUGCCAAUCCAAGAAAACUUCAUACUUCCGACGGUGUCUUCAGCUGAUCCAAGUUAAUUACAGCUUCGACUUUGGAGGGAUCCACCGAAUUUCCAUCCCUAUCAAUCACAUGUCCAAGAAAUUGUACUCUUUUAAUCAAAAAUUCACAUUUCAAAAACUUAGCAUACAACUUCUCUCUUCUCAAAGUCUCUAAUGUCAUCCUCAAAUGCUCUUCAUGUUCUUCCUUGGUUUUUGAAUAUACCAAAACAUCAUCUAUAAAUACCACUACGAAUUUGUCCAAAAACGGCUUGAACACUCCAUUCAUUAAGCCCAUAAAUGCUGAAGGAGCUUUUGUUAGACCCAAUGACAUUACCAAAAAUUCGUAGUGACCGUAUCGUGUUCUAAAUGCUGUCUUCGGUACAUCCUCUGGUCUCACCUUCAGUUGAUGAUAACCAGUUCUCAAAUCUAUCUUUGAAAAGUAUCUUGCUCCCUUUAAUUGAUCGAACAAGUCGUCAAUUCGCGGUAAUGGAUACCUAUUCUUGAUCGUAACCUUAUUCAGUUCUCUGUAGUCUAUGCAGAGUCGCAUUGCUCCAUCCUUCUUCUUCACAAAUAAAACCAGCGCUCCCCAGGGUGAUACGCUGGGUUGAAUGUACUUCUUAUCCAGUAAUUCUUGUAGUUGGACCAUCAGUUCUUUCAUCUCUACCGGUGCCAUUCGGUACGGUGCCUUCGAUAUUGGAGCCAUUCCUGGAGCCAAAUCGAUUACAAACUCAACUGCUCUAUCUGGAGGAAGUCCUGGCAAAUCAUCUGGAAAUACGUCUGCGAAAUCUCUCACUACUGGUAUCUCAUCUAUUUUUGGAUUCUCUUUCCGACUAUCGACUAUGUAAGCUAGAUAUCCUACACAGCUUUGUCUUAACAAUCUCCUGGCCUACAUCAUCAUCAGACAACUCGCUUGUCUAGGCGACUUGCUACCAUAAAACACAACCUUUGACGGAGUCAUAAGGUUAAUAUGCUUCUUCUGGCAGUCAAUUACCACCCCACAAUUGGAUAGCCAAUCCAUACCCAAAAUAACGUCGAAUUCUUUGAGUCGAAUAGGGAUAAGAUCUACGUUCAUGAUAUUACCCUUAAUAUCUACUCUAGAGUUCUUGUGCACAUACUUAACAAGGAUUAAUUCUAUAUUCGCAAUUUCUAUGUUCAUGGGGUAUUCUAACUCGUCCUUAAACAAUUCUAAGUUCUUAGCAAAGUCAUUGGAUAUAAAUGAGCAAGUAGCACCCGAAUCAAAUAAUACAUAAGCACUAAUUUUAUUGAUCGGAAUGAUACCUGACACCACAUCGCGAGACUGCACCGCAUCUUGCACUGUCAUGUUGAACGUUCUGGCUGUUGGUCGAUUGGUUGCGGUUGGUCCUGCAAUGGUCAGAGUGCUUCCAAUAGUAUUUCCUCUAUUUCCUCCUGAACUCGUCCCUCCUGAUCCCUUCUUAGGACAAUCUCUUGCAAGAUGGUCCUUUGAGCCACAUGUGAAGCAAGCACCCUUCUUUGGGUUCGAACAGUUUGGUGCUAUGUGGCCUUCCUGACCAUAAUUGUAGCACACUCGCUUCCCUUUCAUGAAAACUCCCAAAUGAGUUUUUUCGCAGGUUGGACACGCUUCUAUCUUCUUCUUCUGCCCUCCCUGUUGAAUUCCAAACGAAAAAUUUUCAGACCACUUCCUCUUCUGACUGUGAUUACCCCCAGUACUACUCCCACCAGUUUUGUUGUUACCUUCAUUCUCACUUUUCUUUUUCUUCUGAUCCUGAUUGUACUUAGUGACCGCAACGCUUCCACCUUCAGUGAGUAUGGCCUUCUUUAACACUCCCACAAAAGUGUUCAAUUGGAACAUUGACACUUUGCUAUACAACCAGGGCUUUAGUCCCUGUUCGAAUCGUUUUGCCUUCCUCUCGUCGGUGUGCACUUGGUAUGUGGUGAACCUAGCCAACUCGUUAAACCUUGCCGCGUAAUCAGCUACUGACAUACUCCCUUGUUUCAACUCUAGAAACUGAACUUCCAUCUAAUUUUGUGAACUUACCGGAAAGUACAUCUCGAAGAACAUUUCUUUGAAUCUUUCCCAGGAUAUUACACCCUCACCUCCUCUCACUUUGUUUGCCUGCCACCAAUAACUAGCUUCAGAGUUCAGCAUAAACGUUGUAUACGCGGUUUUCUGAUCCUCUCUUACUCGAGCGACGUCGAACACCUUCUCCAUCUCCAUCACCCAAGUCUGAGCUUCGAUUGGGUUUAUGGAACCCUUAAACUCUGGCGGUCCCACCGCCUUGAAGUCCUUAAACGAAGUGUUUGGUGGAACUUGUGGUUGAUUGUUAAUUGCCCCAGCCAAAAGGUUCACCAACUGCUGAACAGGAUUAGCAUUGGCGUCAGUGUUGUUCAUUGGUUCUUCUUGUGCUUGCUGACGGUUUUGUCUUCUUCUAGGCGGCAUAUUUUUAAUACAUCAAUUCAAAUAAACUCUGACAUUCUCAUUUAAUUCAAAAGUUUUAACAUCAAUAGAUAACAUCACUGCUAUUUACAUCCACUAUCCCGAGAUAAAGAAUCUACAGGAUUUAAAACAUCAAAAUAUUCCUUUGUUUAUAAACACAUCGGAUUUUACAUCAUUAACUAUCAAAUAGUUUUCAUAUAAUUAAACUAAUACUAUCACUGCCUAUUAAGACGUUGGAUAGCCUUGCCACGUUCUUCUUCCAUAAUACGAGACAUCGUCCUACGAUCAAGCAUGUAUGAUGGUAGACCUUCAAACUGGAUUGGGUAUUUCAUAACUCGAUCCUGGGCCGUAUCCAUUGCAUUGUGAAAUGUAGAGUACAUCUCCCUAAGCUUAGCCUACUUUGCACGGCGAUCAUCUUCUACAAGAUCAGCACGAUGUGACUCUCUUACCCAGCCUUCCUUUGCUAUGGCAAGCCUUUCUAAGCUCUCUUUCAGAUCCUUCUUCAACUUUUCUAUUUCUGCGGACUUAUCCUCGGUUUGACCCUUCUCGUGAACCAGAUCCCACUCCACGUUUCCUAAAUGUGUGUGAAGAGUCUCAAUCUCCUCAUCCUUCUACUCAAUAGUACUUUGCUGUAUAACAAUCUUCUGUCAGCUCCUGAACAGUGUCCUGCAACUCUAUGUUACGAUAAUAAAGUGCAUCAUACAUCUCAGCAUCAAUGGAGUUCGGUGGGAACUCCUUUUCCUCCUCUUCUUCCUCUUCCUCCUUAGAAUCCUCCUCUGGAUAGGUCUCAGGCUCAUGCCCCUGACCAACAACAGUGAUCAAUGGAGAUGGCUCUCUCUGUACCAGCUGUUCCCUGAUGACAUGAAUGUCGCGGGGCUCCUCCUCUGUAGGUACUCGGGGUUCCUCCUCCCCAGCUCGACUAGCUCCUCCAGCAUCCAACAUCCUGACAACAAAAUUUUAAGUUUUAGUUACAAAUCCGUGCUAGCGAACACAUAGAUUAACACAUAAGCACAUAAAGUCUUUUAUCAUCUUCAAUGAAUUUAGAAAUUCAUUUCAUAGAACUCGAUAAGAGUUUUACCACCACUAUGUUCUCAAUCUCCUACAAGGCUACUACCUAAGGUUGUUCCCCCACCUAAGGUUCAUAACCUACAGCUUUGAUACCAACCUGUGACACCCCCAAAUCCGAUACUUCCAUUUCCACAGGAUUUGGUGUUCACUAUACAACAUCAUCUAUCUAUCAACCCAUAAAUAAAUGUAAACCAUGUAAUCUAUAGAAUUAAAUAAUAAAUCUCCCCUUAAGGGGUUACAUCAACUGCACAAUAAUAAUAAAAUCCCAAGUUACUCUAACCUUAAAACAUCUGUGCCGAAAUCAUAUACAAAUAAGUCUCAAGUAACAUCAAUUCUAAUCAUCAUUACAUAAUCACAAUAAUAAAACAGUCUCCAUUACUUGCUAAUCUUGCCCUUUCCCUUACUAGUGGAAGGUUCGUCUGCUCUUUCGUUCUUAACUGCAAUGUUAUUAUUACGCAAGAGUGAGCACGAUUACCCACAAGUAUAACAAUAUAACAAAUGAAUAACAACAUGCGAAUGAAUUAACAACUUCUGAAAUAAAGCUAAAAUUUUGAAUCAAGAAUGAAUAACAAGAAUCAAAAGAACUUCUGAGGGUCAUAAGACCUUGAACUAUGUCCUAGGUUGUCAAGUGUUUAUACUUGAAACCUUUAACAGUCAUAAGACUAUGGACUCUUCUUCUCGUACUUAGGGGGAUCAGCCCUUAGUACCAUACUGUGCACAAUAUCUUAACGCUAACGCGUAUGUAAUCCUCUUUACAGGAUUGUUCAUCUCAGUUUGACAUUCGAGUCCGCACCAAAGGAAGUUUGGUUUGGAUAAUUCAUCAAGGGUUCUGAAAUUUAAAACGCUCAUCAACUAUGGACUAGUCAAAUCAAGUCUAACAAGGUUUAACAAUAACUGAUAAUUUAACUUGGAUACAAUCUCAAAAGUAUACAAUAGAAUAAUUAUUAUAUAACAACAUCAUGUUUGAAGGAUUAAUAAGCUUUAAUAUACGAAACAGACUUAAUCAAUAACAAUGAGAGUUUGCUUAAUGAUAACAAGUAGGGUUAGGAAACUUGCCUCGUGCAUAGAUUACACGUUAAUAAAACUCGUUCUUUGAUUUAAAUCCUACAUAUCAUUUACAUUCACAAUACCAGUCAAUUAUAACUUACUAAACAUCACACGUUUAUUCUUUGUCUAACUCGAGUUCAUGACUAUACUUAGUCAAUUACUACACUUAUUGUCAAAAAUUAAGACUUCACAAACAAUAAGGUAACUAUGCAUUUGAUCAUUCAAUUCACACGUAAUUGUGUUAAGGAUGUGCUAAGAAUUUAUUUUAACACCUCAUUAUAUGUCUAACAAGUCUUUAUAUUCAUUAGACUAAGUUACCAUCACAUUUCUAUACUCGAACACUUUAAAAAAAACAUUUUCUGGACAUUCUGCUAAGUGGCGCUGCGGCGCCACUUUUGUAGUGGGUCUUGGCGCUGCGGCGCCGUGGCACUGCGGCUUGGUACUUGGUGCUGCGGUGCGGUGGCGCUGCAGCACGGUGGCGCUGCGGUGCGGGAAAUGAACUAGGAGUUGGCACCGCGGCGCGACACUCCAUCCUCCCACAAUACCUUCAACUCGUUUAUUAGAGGUCUCAAGUAAACAUCUAGGUUCUUUCCAGGACUCUUGGGACCAGGAAUCACAAGUGAAAGAAACAAGUAUGGUUGUUUCAUACAUAUCUAAGGAGGCAAGUUGUACGUAGUAAUAAUCACAGGCCACCAGGAGUACGGAACAGCAGAGUGGCCGAACGGGUUGAAACCAUCAGUGGGCAAUCCAAGCCUCACAUUCCUAGGUUCCAAUGCAAACCCAAGAUGUGCUAAGUUAAAAUCCUUCCAAGCCUGCCCAUCUGCGAGAUGGUUUAGUUCCCCAUCUUUAGCUUGAGAUUUCACAUGCCAAGUCAUAUGUUCAGCUGUUCUAGAAGACAUGUACAAUCUUUUUAGCCGAUGUGUAAUUGGAAAAUACCUUAAAAUCUUAAAUGGUAUAUUUGUUUUUGUUUUUGUCACACCCUCUUUAUUAGGCAUAAACCGAUCAUGAAUGUAAAACGUGCACCUUGUCUCAUGUUCAUCUUACUAAUAAAAUAACAUGCAAUCAUUCAGACAUACAUCAAUCUUUUGGUAUCCAAGACCCAACUUCUUCACCAUUUUCUUACAAUAGUAGUAGUUUUCGGGCAAUUUUUCACCCUUAGGCAACAUACUCUUAAUGGCCUUCAAAAGCGACUCAAAACACUUAUGGCGCAUGUUGUAAUCAGCCUUAAUGUUGAGUAAUGUCACCACUGCAGACAAUGUAGUGUGCUUGGUGCAACCAUGCCACAACGGUUCUCUACCUUCAUCUAACAACUUAAAGAACGCUUUGGCAUCAGAAUUCAUAGGUUGCUCUCUACCUUGUUCCUAGUCAAAAUCCAGCCUGUAAUAUUACGAACCAUUUCAUUCGUACGAUGGGUACUGCUGCCCGGAUUGUGUACGUGUGAUGUACCACUAUCUCUUCUCUGACCAUGUGCCCACGAGCAUUCUUCUUAAUUUUUCAUGAACCCCAAAACAAGUAAAUGAUAGUUGAUAAUGUCUCUGUCCAUGUAAUUUACAUUCUUACAGUUCAAACAAGAACAUCUUAUCUUCUUCUGACCAUUUACACAUUCCGGGUUACUAUACGCAUAAUCCAAAAACACUUGGCAACCAGCUCUAAAUUUAGCUAAAGCACCUAUCUGGACACCUGACUUUUGUCAACUCAUCCAACUAUGGUCUGAAUAGAGGUCCAUGAUACCAUGAUACCUACUGCAGACAAGAAUUAUUGUAUUCCCAUUGUUAGAGAUUUACAAUUCAGCUCAAUGCCAUUUAUGAUGCUUAUAAAUAUAUAUAGAUGUAUAUGUACAUAUAUAACUUAAGUGUGCAUUAUAAAUGCUGCUUUGGGAAUGGAAUGAGGAUACAUACCAAAACAAGUAACAUAGCAUAAGAUGGACUACCCAAAGGCAUGCUAUAUUGUUGUGGAUCUCAAAUUAGAAUGAAGUAUGAUCCUAUGUCAUCCUACUUAUUUUAAUUGAAAACAUAUAUAGUAGCCUAAAGACAAUAGAUUCCUAGGGAUAAAAUAUGAAACAUUGCAUCAUACAUGGUCUGCAUAUGCAUUGGGACAAGUUUACAUCAUUUGUUUUUGCAUAUACGUAGGUAUUAUAUAAAUAUAUGCCUCUUUUCAAUUACCCGACCAACGAAAAUUUUUUGCCAUAGUCUCCCCUAUAAUAUGGACUAUCCACAUGCACGAGGGCAUGCAUAAAUUGCCAUUUAUAGGCACCCAACACAGAACCCAAGAUAAAUAUAUCAAUUCCCAAUAAAAACAAUUGUAGGCAGACUCAUAUAUGGCAUGUGACUUUGCGAGUGAUGGGAUAAAUUUCAGUAUAUUAUCAUAAUAUUAAAUUAAAAUUAGUAGCAUUUGUGACACCCCCGAAUCCAGAUACUCAAAUUUCCCUCAGAUUUGAUGUUCACUCAACAAAAUAAUUAACAUUUAACUACCCAUAAUAAUGAUAACCAUAAAAUUGAAAUGGAAAUCCUCCUAAUAUAGGGUUAUAACAUCUUAAACGAAUAAAUCUCAGGGUAUCUAACCUUAAUACAUCAGUUGCGGAAACAUCUUAAACAAAUAAGUCUUAAACAUUACAUCAUAAGUCUUAAUAUAAACAUUCUCAAAUAUUAAAUAAGUCUUUAUCAUUUGCUUGUUUUGCCCUUGCCCUUACUUGUGGAUGGCUCAUCAACUUUCUCAAUCUUAGCUGCAAUGUUAUUUUGCAAGAGUGAGAAACAAUUGCCCACAAGUUUAAUAAUAGAAUAAUAAUAAUAACAUGCGAAUAAACAAUGGAUACUGAACCAAAAGAAGUCUCGGCUUUUGAAUCAAGAUUAGAACAGGAAUCAAAAGUACAUCUGAGGGUCACAAGACCAUGAACUAUGUUCAAGGUUAUCAAGUAUUUCUACUUUAAACCUUUAACAGUCGUAAGACUAUAUGGACCUAACUUCUCAUACUUAGGGGGAUCAACCCUAUAUACCAUGUAUGUGCACAACAUCUUAACGCUAUCGCGUAAUAUAAUCCCAUGUAGUAGGGUUGUUCAACUCAGCUUUGCCAUUAGAGUCCGCACCGAAGGAAGUUUGGUUUGGAUUGAUCUCAAGGGUAAUUUAGAGUUUUAUAAUCAUGAACUAAGGAUUAGUUGAAUCAAUAAGGAUUUAAUAAUCAUUCACGAGUUCGUUAACAACGUAAUAUAUAAAGGAAUACAAUAGAAAUGAUAGAAUAUUGUUGAAUCAUAAGUAGAUAAGCAUCAUAUACAAGACAUGGUUCCAUAAAGGAAUAGUAGGCUUAACCAAAACAUAGGCAUUGAAUAAUAUAAGAAGCCUUGCUUGAAUAAUAAGCUAAGGUUUGCUCAAUAAUUAGAAUUUGAAAAGCUUGUACAACUAUAAUCAAGUUAGAGAUAAGGAACUUAAUCAAUAAUGAUAUAAAAUAACAAUUUGCUCAAUGUAGAAUUAGGGUUUAGAAACUUGCUCAAUGUAAAGAAGUAAGGUUUAGAAACUUGCCUCGUGCAUAGGCUAAAUGAUUACUACUCAUGUUCACCACAAGUCCUACACACAUACCAUAUGCAUUCACAACAUUCAUUAGUUACACUCAUAUUAACCUCAUAGGUUUAGUUCCCUCUUUUAAUACAACUUGUUAACUUAGUUUAAGUUCUGCCCAUUACCAUCAGUCUUAUAUACAAGACUGAAGUCUCACAUCUUAAGUUUGAUCAUCAAUACAUCUUCUCAUGAACAUAACGUUUAGCCCUUAUACAACUUAUCAAAUUACCAUAAAAUUUCAUCACAUGUAUGUUAACAAUCUGAUAUGACAUCAUAUUACAUGUCUAACACAUUAUUAUGUUCAUUAGCCUAGGUUAGACUAACAUGUAGUGGAGUGCACAUGACGAAAAUUGAAAUUGUCCAACUCUGUUACCCCUACCAGGGUGGGAUUUUAUAUAGAAAUAAGACCCGCUGGGACGGAGAAAUAAGCCUGGUAACACCCUCCGGGGCGGGGUCACCCAGAUACAAUUUCUGCAGUUUGUGACUGCACUAUUCAUCAGACCAAAAUUCAUGAAUUUCACAUGAAAUCAGUAGAUUUAACAAACCCAAAAGACAUAGACUUCACACAAUUAUUACCAAGCAUGCAUACAUCGAUUUUAAACAACAAAACUACUGUAUUCAUCAGAUUUAACCCCUUUAAAUUCAUGUUCUUGCUAAAAAGCUCAUUUUAGACAUCCUUAGCAAAUCAUCACGCCACAGAUUCAUUUCUUGACCAAAUCAGUUCGUGUAACAUGCAUUGUUUUCGUAUUUAAACAUAUUAAUACAAUCAAUCGUCAAUUUACAGAUUAUAACAUGGAUUAAAUACUAAUUUUGGUUCUAAAAUUAGUCUUUUUGUACUUUUUAUAACAAAACUUAAAUCUUUAUUUUAAAGCUUAUUUCAUACAAAUUUAACUUCUAAAAAUCAUUUUUAAGUCAAAUAUAACAGAUUAUAUAUACAUGUUAACAUAUAUAACAACUUAUCUAAUCGAUUCAUCAACCAAAACCCCAAUUUUAACACCAAAAUCAUAUAUAUUGUAUAUUUAUCAUCAAAACUCAAGUUCUUCAUGCUUUAACAGAUUUCAUGAAUUUUGAUUACUCUAAAUCAAGGAUAAUUGAUAUAAAACUUGUUAUAAACACAUACAAUACCAUAUUUCUAACAGUCAUCCAUAAAAUAUCAAUUAUAGAGAACUAAAAUAUGUUUUUAUGGAAAAACUUAAGAACAUAAUAAACAAGGAUUAGAAUUUGAAUUCUCACCCUUUGAUUCUUAUUUAGAUUCUAGGAAUUCCUCCUAUGAUUCUCCCAGUCUUCUUCCUUAAACUCAAUUCUCUCAAAUUAUCUUUUUUCUCUUUGUAAUUUCUCUGACUUAGGUUUUAGGAAAUAAAAAUGCGUAGAAGACACAAGACAGAUAUAAUGCAUAUAACUGAUAUACAUGGGUAUCAGUUAUGCGCAUUAAGGCUCAACAGUUACCCAUGGUCCUAAGGUAUUGUUUGGUUUUUUUCAAAUUGACUCCCUUUCCCAUUAUUUUAAUUAACUUGUUUAUUAUAUAGUUUAUUUGUCACACUUAACUAAUCAAAUAAUAUUAUUUAAAUUUAAUUAAAUUAAAGGCAAUAUUACCCAUUAAAUCACAUCAUCGCAUAAUUAAAAUUAUCAUUUAUUAAAUAUAACACAUAAUUUAUUUUUUCAAUAAAUCUCUAAUUAAUUAUUUAAUUAAUUAGAACAAUACUAAAAUUAUUUAACAACUCAUUGAAUUUAAUAAUCUCAAUUAAAUCCACACUUUGAAUUAUAACAUUAUUCCUCAUUAAUUUAAUUAAUCACUACAAAAAAAUAGACAUUUGGCAAUAAUUUUUUGUGCAAUGACUUAUAAAGUCAUUGCCAAAAAUGCAUGUUUAGCAAUGAAAUUUGUCAUUCGUUGCAGUUUAUGAAAGGCUUUCAUUUUUCAUAACGAAAUUCACAAGUCGUUGUAAAAAUUUGUUGCCAAAUCGUUGGCGGAAAAAAAAACACACCGCCUAUUUUCUUUUUUAUAACCGAUGAGAUUUCUUCUCAUCGUCGGCAACAAAAAAAAAUUUGUUGCUAUAUUUUGUUGCCUAAUAUAGGCCACAUUCAUAGGCAAUAAUUUUUUUUCGUUGCUUAUUUAAUACAUUUUUUUUGCAAUGACUAGUAAAUUGUUACCCAAAAUUAAGACAAAGCCAAUAAGCAUGCCUCAGUUUUCCCCCAAAACGCUUCAUUUUUCAUUAAAAUUUUUUUAUUUAUUUGGACACAAUUUUAUACAGUGAAAUGUUUCACUCCGUUCGUCUCAAAAUAAAUGCCCAGUUUUUAUAUUUUUUAAAGUUAUAAUUUUUGAAAUUAAAAUUGAGCACAUAUAGAUAUAUUUUCUAAUUUACAAAAAUUAAAGUUUAUAGUUAAUUAGAUGUAGUUUAUAAUGAUCAUAUUCGCACACUUAUAAUUUUGAAAAAAAAUAUAAUUAAUUUUCAAAAUAAUUUACAUAAAUUUUUCUUGUAACUCGUUAUUUUACAUAUAUACUUUUUGACAAGGGAUGGGCAAAGAAUCAAAAUCGCUCCCGAAAUUGCACCAAAAAUUGACCAAACUGCACCGAUUAAGUCGCGCCAAUGGUUCCGGCAUAGACCAAUUAAGUUACACCAAUGGUGUGUAAGUUCUUUUUUAACUCUCCUUUUUCAAAUUCUCCUUUUUUCUUAACUUGUAAAUUUUUUUAUAAUCAAAUAUUAAUUUCUCUUUAUAUCUUUAAUUAGAGGGUGUUUAGCAAUGACUUAUAAGUUGGUCAAACUAAAUUUAAGUCAUUUGUUAUUAUUUAGUGUUUGACAAUAACUUAAAUUUUAACUUUUUUUUGAAUUACAAGUCAUUAUUAAAUUUUUUCAUGCUUCAUGUGCUAUAUUUUUUAUGUAUUAGAUAAAUUUUACUACCAUCUAUAUAUAUAUAUAUAUAUAUAUAUAUAUAUAUAUAUAUAUAUAUAUAUAUAUUAAAAUAUUCAUAAUUACGUUAUAUAAAUAUUCAUAGUUACUUUGUCGACGUCGGGAUUUUUAUUGUCCCUUUUCUGUUCUGGUCUUUUGGUGUUCUCAUGUUAGGUGAAAUUUGUUUGAAAAAACAAGUUGUGAAAAGGUCCGAUAUGUAUAUGUCGGCGAUUGGACUGUAAGAGUCGCCAGUUGGUAUUUUUAAAUGGUUGCACCAACUCAACCGAGAAAAGGUUUGCACAUUAACCUAGUGAUGUAACACUGCUUAACAGAUCUGUGAAACCGAGAUUCGUUAGGGUCCGGGGGCUUGAUUAUGCGGAGAAAAGGUGUUAGGCACCCCCCGACAUCUGUGUUACCACGGUGACCGCCACUUUUCAAUUAAACUAUUAUAUGAAUGUGUGUAUGUGUGUGUGGGUCAAUGUGCAAUUAUCGGGAAGUAGUGAUAUGUCUCGUUUGCACCUAUAUACAAAGGGUUUGAAUUUUGUAUAAAAGUUUAGUUUUAACAAGAUAUAACAAUGAUAUUUUGUAAAAGAGGUUUUCAAACCCUUAUGCUCAAUAGUAAUUGAGGCCUUUGAUACUUCCAUUUUAUUAUGUGUUCAGUUUAACUGCUUUUAUGUUUGAGAUGUGAGGCAUCUUCGAGAAAAUAAGAUAUAUAGCAGUGCCGAAUUCCUUAUGGGCAUGAGAGACAUCUAAGGAAAUUCAAACACUGUGAAUAAUUUAAAAGCUGGAUACAACUGAAAAUGUCCAUCACGGGAACCGAAUCUAGAUCCAGAAGACUGAAUUUGUGAUCACAUGAUUCCUAAACUCACAUGAUGUUGUAGUUUGUAUGAAAGCUGUAAGCAGUUAAAUAUAUAUAAAAGCUAUAAAUAUAUAUAUAUAUAUAUGAACGAUCAACCACCACGGAGUAAACUCCAUGGGGAUUAGAAAUGUAAAUAUAUAAAAGCUGUAAAUAUAUAUAGAGAUAAUCAACCACCACGAAGUAAACUCCAGGCGGGACUUAAUGUAAAAUAAAGCAGUAAAAGGCCACAAAGUAAAUUUCAGGCCUAACAAAAAUCUAAAUAUAUAUAUAUAAGCAAUAAACGCUCCGGAUGUGAAUCCAGGCUCAAUCGAGGCAUAACUCGAUGAUGUUAGUAUAAAUAUAUAUAUAAGUAUAUAUAUACAAAAGAAAUAAAAAGCCACGGACCGAAGUCCGGGCAUACGCACACAACACGACUCUCAAAGUGAAUAAUUGUGAGUGCAGAAAGUGGAGAAAGGCUUUAAGAAAUGUAAGAAGUCUUACAGCGGGAUGUCAAGAAGACUUCAAAUAGCUUUAAUUGAAUGAACACUUGGUUUUCACCGGUAAAAUAUAGCAAAAUAUAAGCUCGCAAGUGUUUAAAAUGAGAAAGCACUAAGUUUAUAGUGUGUACAAAGCAAAAUUGACUGGGCUUCCUCGCCUUUUCUCUUUCUAAAAUGGCCACCCCAAGCCCUUUAUUUAUAGAGGGGGGAGCCACAAGUGUACCUACGGCAGCCGCAGAUGUAUCUGCGGUUGCCCGAGGUGCCCCAGGCUCCGUGGGUCCCGCCGUCUCAAAGUACGUGCAUGCAUGCAACGCGUUGUCCACUCGAACCUUCAUAACUUUCAAUCCGGGUAUCCGAUUAAGGCGUAUAAUACCUUUUCGGAAUGCUGUUGUCGAGAGCUACACAAUGACAUGUGAUAAGAGGUUAUACGAAGUCGGGAAGAUAGGGCCAUGCCUAGAUCUUUGGGUCUUCAAAUUCCAUCAAGUGUGCUGUCUUGUGUAGAAAUCACUCGGGAUUUAAGCUAUGGUUCUUGUAGGACACUUCUGUGUAGAAUGUAUGUUGAAAUGUUGUUGAGAUGGCGCAAUGUGGGAUCGAGGUGGCAAAAUGAUGAUUUUUCCCUUCACUGGGGUUAUCUCCGGUUUGGGCUAAUUUAGCAGUCAUUGCUCAGGGUUAUCUCUGAGAUUGGGCUGCUGUGAGUACUAAAGGUCCUCAGGGUUGUCUCUGAGGUGUGCCUGACCUCUUAGGGUUGUCUUAAGGGUUGGAAUUGAGUGCCUCGGGGUUAUCUCUAAGGUUGAAGCUGAUUGCAAAGGAUUGGAAUGAGCUUUUUUGGGGUUAUCUCUGGAACUGCAACUGCAUUUCUUGGAGUUAUCUCUGAGGUUGAAACUGAAACUCCUGGGGUUAUCUCCGGGAUGGAAAAACUAAUAAUUUCGGGGUUGUCUCCAGAACUGGAACUGCAUUCAUCGGGGUUGUCUCUGAGGUUAGAACUGAAACUCCCAAGGUUGUCUCCGGGACUAGACUGAGUAUCUCGAGGUUGUCUCUGGAACUGGAACUAGUUGGUCCUCCAGGGUUAUCUCUGAAAGACGAUUCUAUUCUCCUACAAUGUUAGUAAUAGGAAUACAGAAAUUUUUGAGUGUCUACAGAUGUCCCUCUUUAUCAUAUUCAUGCAAUGUAAUGGUAUGGAUAGGAUAAAGAAUACUAGACACUUGAAAUGUGACAAGAUAAUCAUAAUGCAAUGUACUGCAGCAUGAUGUAUAUGCAUGAUGUAUGUGGUUUGUUGGACCUUUUUCCAACAGGAUGUGAUGACUAUUCCCACGGCUUCUGAUGGGGACUGGAGUUAUCACUGAUGAUCAUGAAGAACUGCUUGGAUGUGUACUCCAAAGCUCUCAGGAACUUCCAGGAUGUUGACGUUGGGGUUAUCACCAAAGUCCUAAAUCCUUGAUACAAACUUCCCACUGAGGAUGUAUCUCUCAUGUACAAGAGAUUUUGGGGAUUUUUGUUCUGUCUAAUGAAGAUGUGUAUAACAUAUUCCAUCAUCAGGGAAGAUGUUCUUUCCUAGUUUGUAUUGUCAGGUCCUUCCAUUGCUCUGUCGGAGUUAUUGCCAAUAGUCUGUGUUGUCAGGGCUGCCUGACCCUCGCUAAAUGUACAUCAACGGAUGAGAUCCCUGCUGGGGAUAACGUUAAGGCUGCUUGACCUUCGUUGAUGUGUGUAUCAAUGGAUGAGAUCAUCGGAUAACUUCUGAUGCUUCGCUGGAUUUACCUUCCAGUGACUGAAUGUCGUCAAGGUUGCUCAACCUUCAUUGACGUGUGUAUCAAUGGAUGAAUUGGAUAAAGUUUUCACUGGGGGAAAAUGUUUUAGAGUUACAACCCCGGACUGAUGGCAUUGGACCUUCGUGAGGUAUUGUCGAGUUUAGUUUGCAACAUUUGUGAUCAUCGGUAUAGUAAACUUUUCAUUUGGGCAAAUACCAAUGAGUGAUAAGUAGACCCGCAGUUUGGUCUCUGAAAACUAGGAUUUCAGGCUUUUAUGCUCAAUCGCAUAUCAUCUUUUUUCCUGAUUUGACUUUUUUAGCUUGUGAGACCUCCUUUGUAACUCAAAUUAGACCAAGCCGGAGGGGUGGGCCCCACCCAGGGGAGCCGCAGGUACACCUGCAGCCAACCGUGGGUGGCUUUAAGGCACCUGUUGCUUUCAUAAGUCAUUUUCAAGUUGCGCCACACAGAGAAUCCGAGAGCUCUUCUUCAGAUUUGCUGAGUUCGGGCAGCUUUCUGCAAAAUAUGUCACCGUACAAGUGUUCUACACUAUCCUGGUAACGUAUGCAUGUCUGCUUUUCCAAUUUUUAUCCGUUGGAAAAUGAGUUAUCAUAUGAAAUGCUUCUAAACACAUAUUACUGAAUAUGCAUGCUCAUAUGACUUGAUAAAAAAUAUUUAAUACAGUAAAUGUUAAUAUUUAACCAUGCUAAACAUAAUGAUGUGAAAAAAUUUAACUUUUGAAAUAGUCAAAUUAACACUUUUUUCUGCUAUUUUUUAUCCUAUUUGAGGACAAAUGAACAAAGGUGGUAAAGCAAAGUAAUCCUGGUAAUUAGGCUACCCUUACGGAUUAUGACUUUAAUAUUUUUAUGCAUAUAGGAUGUUUAUGAUUGUGGGUAGGUGUGCUACUGAAUGACCACCUAGUCAUGCCUAUGUGCAUGUGGAUAGUCCUAUUUACAAAGGAGACUCUGGCAAAAUUUUCCAAAAUGUAGGCAUUGGGUAGUCAUGCAUUUUUAACACUACUGUAGGCAUAUGUUAAAGUAAUGCAUGCAUGCAUAUAGUCAUAAAAUGCAUUUGAAAAGCUCCAGGUUAGAGUUUACCACACCCUUUCUGAAGUGAUUUGGAGACUUGUAUCCAAAUAUAUGGAUCCGGAUCAGCCGAGUAGUUCCCGCAGGACCACUUCAGGUGUGCGGAGGAGGGCUUCUAAUGUACCUCAACCCCAUUCAGUUAGACAACCUCGUCAUUUGAUGGAGGUGGUGAUCCGUCCUAUCCGGGUUGAGGUACCAAAUGUUGAGGACGAGGAGGAGGAUGUACCGAUUGUGGACCCCACUCCUGCUACUUAUGUUCCCCGCAGGGAUCUUCCAGGCAUUCAGGUGAUGAUUCUAGAGCUCCUGAAUGAUUUGAGUUGACACCCCUCAAUUUACUUACAUGCAAACAAGGUACAAGCUGGAUUUGAUCUUCCUUUUUCCUAUAGAUGUGGAGCAAGGAUUUUGAUGUUGAUUUGCUUUAUGAUGUAGGAUCCUGGCUUUACGCAGACUCAGUCUCUCCAUUUGUUGGACUGUGAGGUGAUGAUGACGUCGAUGGAUUGGCGAUUUAUCACUGGUAUAGAGUUUGGAGGGGCGCCAGUGCCUUGUACGGCGAAUAUUACCCCGACUGUCGUCAAAUCCUUGCUAGGAGUCCUGGUUGAGGCGCUCAAGGGUAGGACAGUUCGUACAGGUCCUUUGAGUGUGGAUGUUAUGAGUGGGCUGUUGAGUGAGCCCAUACCUGAUGAUGUGAGAGUUAGGAAUCGCAUUCUUCGGCGAUUGUUCCUGAUAAUCAUUAGGGGCUACUUCAUAGCGGAUAACUCUUCCACCAUAUCAUUCACUUUGGUCAGUACCACACGAGAUGUGGACCGUAUUGGAGAGUAUGACUGGGGUUCCUAUACCUUCGCCUAUUUCCUCAAGGGUAUGCGUUCGUAGGGCUUGACGGAGGCUUGGCUAGGAUUUUACCUAUUUCUACUGGUGAGUAUUUCUCUUAUGAUUUCCCAUAUGCAGGUUAAGAGUGUUGACUGACAGCAAAUGUUUGCCUUUGUGUUGGCAGUUUUGGGCCUUUGAGAGGCUCUCAUGCUUGCGUCCUAUGAGUGUGUUAGGUUUAGAUACCUAUCCACGAGGAUGGAGAUGGCAUCACUCCAUACUGGCGGAGGUUCCUGUAGCUGAGGGUUUCACCCAUUGUCAUCUACAGUUGGAGUUCUUGACAGCUGAUGCUAUCACUUGGAUUCCCUAUUCUGGGGAACAUUUGACUGUUGGGUUUCAGGUCGGGUACCCGACUGGUUUCGAGUAUAUGAUAUCCACCCGUAGGAUUCCUCUCUUCAUAGAUGGAGGAUGGGAGCUCUAUUUGGGAGAGCGUGCUAUUAGGAGCACUAUAGAGGAGAUUCGUGUACCGAUCUUGCCUCCUGUCAGGCAUUAUUGGCCUGUUUCACAGUCGCUUGUCAGUGAUAUCCCAUUGAUGGGCGUUGACGGCUUUACUUUUUCAAAGGGUCCGUAUACUCAGGAUAUGUUCCAUCACUGGUGGUCCCCUCGUACUAUCAGAGCCCAGACCCUCGCCACUCAGUUCAUGGGGGAUAUGGUUCCUAGGUCCAUGAUGAUGACGGAUUGGAUGGUCUAUUUCUGAGAUCCGACUCAUUAAACACAGAUUGAAAGUUUGACCCGGCAGUUCGACCGGGCACAUUUCUUUAUCCUGCACUUGGGUAGAGAUCCUUCAGAGGCAGAUACUUUUGAUCCUUCCAGCUCCGGGCCUGGCCAUUUAGGUGACCUGUAUGUUUUUGUCGACGUAGAUCCUCCAUUGUAUAGGCCUGACAUCCCACUUGGUGGAGAUCCAGUGACUCAGGAGGAGUUACAUUAGGUAGACAGGAUUGAUGAUGUUGACAUUGAUACCAUUGUCUUCUUCUGAUGUGUAUUCUCGCUAUAUCUUUUGAUAGGCCUCUAUUAGAUACUGGGUGGAUGUGUCCCAUUCUUGUUAUAUCUUUUGAUAGACCUCUAUAAGUUAUUGGGCGUUUGUGCCCCAUUUCCCUGUAUUUUUAGUUGUACAGAGAUGAUGUGCUUAAGAAUGUAUGUACUAUUUUCCAUUCCCUACAUCAUAUUGCCAUCUAUUGUUGAUCAUGCAUGUAUCAUAUUAUGCAUAUGUAUGUCCAGAGAUAUUCAACAUUGACCCCUGCAUAGUCUUAUGAUACGGCCCACACAUAUGUCUUCUUCGACAGUCAACCGCAUUGAUCACAUCCCACCAGUAUUGGUAGCCUCCCGUCUGAGGUCAUGGUAUGAUAGUUUGCCACCUCCAGACCCGGUGACCGUAGAUCAGUUAUUACAACAUUCCAUGACCCUCCUGAUGUUCUAGGUUUUUGUGGGCUUUGUAGAUGGAAUGUUGGAGCAUUGGGUAUUUGAGAGGCAGGUUUUCCGAUUGGGGACCCAGGAGUCGACUCUCACCUUCGAGGAGUACGAGCGGUUGACAGUUUUGUCACUAGACAGGACUUAUGCUUGGAUGGCUAUCGAUGACAUGAGCUGCCAGUUCAUGACCCUCACCAGGCUGAGGUGUAGAGUAGUAGAGGAUGAGAUUACAUUCGGUCAUGUGGUGUCCCAGCGUUUUCUGAUAGACAAAUUUGGCUCAGUGGACAGUUAUGCACGACUUUGGGGAUUUUACCACGUCGGAGGAUCAGUGGCAUAUGGCUAGAGUAGACGUACUCAUGAUGUGCGUAGUGGCUUAUGUGUACAUGCCACUGUAUAUGGAUGAGCUGGACAUUGGUGUUAUCAUGGCAGUGAGAGCUCUCAAGGAGGGUCAUACCAUUGUGCCGAUGAUUGUGACAGAGACAUUGAGGUCGACCAUAUAUUGCCACACUUAUCCUGCAUGGGUAUUCAUAGGUAGCUCGGUCCUGAUGUAUGUGUGGUUUAUGUCACACCUGAGACCGAUUGGCACCUUCCAAUGACAUGGGUAUUAUUUUUUCCAUGAGAUAGCCAUAUCUUACUCCUUUCAUCCAGCGGAGUGUACAGACGCUAUAUUCUGUUCGGUGUUUUUGGUAGGGAUCGGAGAUCCGUUUGACAUUUUGCCGUGUACAAGGCUUAGUUCACCCUACAGCUUCAUUACUCAUGCAUCUGGCAUGGAUUAUCUCCCUCUGGCUGGUUUGAGGGGAAUGACCACUUAUCACCCACUGGCUGUGUGUCACAGUUCGACCAGUUUCAAGACGUCCAUCCUUUUGAGGGGGCAUUAGGUCAGCGUUUGGCUUCUUGCCAUUUGUUAGAAGAUGACAGAUCUAAAGUGUAUGCAUGUUAGGAUCAGCGUGAGCUAGCUGAGUUUUCAGUUAGCCAUUUGGCCUGUUUGGCAGAGUAUUCUGCAUGGAUGGAGAUAGAAACUACAUCAGUUGCAAUAGUAUCCACAGUAUCGGGGAUUGAUUAUGAUGGUGGAGAGCCCGUAGAGGACAUUGAUUCUCCUACUGAGGAGUUGUUUGCUGGUUUGACAACAACUCUUGUUGAUUCUCCCAGUAUAACUGCUACUAUGACCCCGCAUUCAGCAGAGUAUUUAGAGCAGAGCCUGCAUCUGAUGACAUUUGAGAGAGAUCAGGCUAGGGCCUUGAUGUUGACAGCUCUUGCUGGUAGAGAUGUUGCUUUAUUGGAGAGAGAUGAUGCUUUAACUCAUAGAGACACCACUAUUGCUAAGCAUGAUGAGACUAGAUCAUCUAGAGAUGUAUUGAUUAUUGAGUGGGAUGGCGCUAUAUCUGCCCGGAAUGUAGCCGUUACUGAUAGUACUACAGCGAGGUCCCAUACUACUGCUAUUGUUGCAGAAAUGAGGGCUUUUAUUGAUGAGCACAGUGUCACCAUGCAGUUGGCUGUGGAUUUGUUGGCUCGUGUAGAUACCCUUAGGCAGGAGCUCACAGCGUUACCUCUUUUUUCAGAGAGAGAUGCCAUGUUGGACUUGAUAGCUCGCAUAUACACUGAUUUAUAGAUGGGCUUGUAUUUUUCUGCACAGUCUAGCUUAGCCAUUUUGUCAUGUACAGUACAUAUUGUAUAUAUCAAACAUCAUUAUAUAUGGCAGGAAAAUAUAUUUUGAUUCACUUCCCUUUUAGUUGUGCCUUGUUACAUGCUUGAUAUUUGUAUGCUUCUCUAGGACUUGUGAUCUUGAUGUAUUUUGAACUCAUCCUUGAUGGGUGGACAUUGAGAUGUCUCAGGAUCUUUCAGAAUGGAUCGUUGAUCUGUGUGUAUUCCCUACCCUUUGGUGUAUUGGGACUGGUUUCUGUAUGUAGUAAUGGGGAGGAGUGUGCCUUUCCUCUCUGAGGUUGACCCCACCACAGAUGGUCGUCGGUACUCCUUUGUAUGGGGGAGUCCAGGUAGUUCCAUCUCUUAUGGAUUGGUGUUUCUCUUUGAGGACUCAACCGUAGCUUAGAUGGUCGUCGAUUCUCCCAUUUGUGUGGGGAGAUCAGUUAGUUCCAUCCCUUUGGUCUAAAGUCGAUAAAGUGUGGUGAAUUGAAGGUUGAUCCCAGUACCAUGUGACAAGUUUUUGUGUUUUGGUAGGGGUAAGACUGAACCAUGAAUGGUUGCCUACGUACUCCUAUUGAAGAGGAGAUCAGGUCUGCUAGUUCGAACCUAGUGUAAGAGGUUCAACGAUGUAUGUGAAAGGGUGUAGAAGGGUGUAGAAGUGUUUUUUUUAUGUGGUGUGACCGGGCCAUAAAAACAAGGUUCUAAAAGGCGCUAGGCGGGAGGCGGGCGGCCAGGGGAGGCCUAGCGCCUGGGGGGCCUAGGCAGGAUUUUUUAUUGUAAGUCAAUUUUACUAUUUUAUCUCACAUUAUUCUAACAAAACAAUAAUAUAAAGCAAAAUAAUCUAUAAUAAAGAUAAUAAAGGCAUUUGUUUAAAGUUUAAACACAUUCAUAUAGCCAACUUCAAAGUUUAAACAAACACACAAUUGUUCAAAAUUCAAACACAAACAAAUAAUCAAAAAUACAAACUAAUAGUCUUCAUCCCCAUAUCCCUCUAUAUUUCUAACUCUUCAUCUCCAUAUCCCUCCAAGAUAAUGUCUCCAUUGGACUCACACUCAUACUCCUCAUCUCCCUCUUCCUCUAUGUCAUCAUCAGACAAAAAAUCUUCUUCAUGAAGUUCUCUUACUCCAACAAUUCUACUACUUCUCCUAGGCUCUAGCAUGUUAUCCGCUCUGGAUGUUUCACCAACCGUCUCCCAAAUAAGGCCCGAACAACCCUUAACCUCAUCAUCACCACCUUCAACAAUCCAUCCUUGCACUUUUGAAGCAUCACUUGCUAGUAGCACAUCUACUUUCCUAUCUUUCUCCCAUUUCUUUUUGUUAUUAAGCCUUGCAUUAAAUUGGACAUAGACUAGAUUGUUCAACCUUGUUGCAUCUAGUCUAUUCCUCUUCUUUGUAUGAAUCUACAAAAAAUGAAAUUGUUUUUUAAAAAAAUAAAAAAAUUAUAUAUUUAUAUUAGAUUUUACUUAAUAAACCACUUACUAGUUACUAUAUACUAUGUAGUUGAUAUUUACCCCCUCAAAAGUACUCCAAUUUCUCUCACACACAGAUGAACUAGUAGUCAACGAAAGAAUCCUUGUUGCCAUCCUUUACAAGUUAGGUGUACUAUUACCAUAAUUGGACCACCAUCCAACUAGUCAUUAAAGAUUGUAAAUUAUUAACAAAUAUUUUAACAAGUAUUAAAUAGUAAAGAAAGAUUAAACAAUAAAUAUUUAUACUCGAAUCAUAAUUAUUAUCAUUUGUUGCACAUCCCGCCGCCGCUAAAGGUCUUGCAAACCCACCCUCUUUUUUUUAUACUUCAACAACUCUAUAUUUAUGACAAGACUUUGCAUAUUGAAGUCAUCGGGAAAGAACUUCUCAACACAAGUAAACAUCGCAUCCAUGACAAGUGGAUCACUUUGUAUGUUAGGAUCUUUAAAGAAGUGAUAAGGGUUCAAUUGGUAAGCCGUCAAAUGCAAAGGACUAUCAAGCCGGUCUUUGGCUUUAGCAUCGAUAAUCGCGAGAAUGGGACGAUAGUUAGUCCCAUUAUUUUUGAAUGCCUCUUUGAUCUCUUCAUUUGCUUUUUUGAGUUCUCCAUAUAAAAAACCCAUUGAUGGCUUUUGGUCUCCAUCAACAAGGCGAAGCACCUUUACCAAUGGAGCAAACACUUUCAAGCAUAGUGUUACUUCAUUCCAAAAACUCAAACUCAAGACAGUAGCAUACGCCAUUUUUCCCUUAGUAUUUUUUGACCAUUUGCAUUGAUCCCAUUCAGUACUAGUAAACAUAUACCUCAACUUCUCUUUCUUUUCCAUCAAACUUUGCAAAGUUAAGAAAGAAGUUGCAAAUCUAGUAGUGCCAUGACUCACUAUGUCUCUCUUUUUUGUAUGUUUCCUCAUCAAUGCCAAUGUCUUAUGAUGUGCAUAAAUAAAGAUAGUAAAGGCCUUUGCUUUCUCAAUCACUCCCUUAAACUUUGGUAGCUUGCCAAUUCCUUCAAGCAUGAGGUUCAAAGUGUGAGUGGCACAAGAAGUCCAAAACAUAUGUGGCCUCUUUAUCAUUAACAAGUCUGCCGCGGUCAUGUUGUUGGAAGCAUUAUCAGUAACAACUUGCACUACAUUUUGUGGCCCAACUUGUUUAAUGAAAUCAUCUACAUAUUUGAAAAUAUAUUCUUUAGUGUGUGCUUCCUCAGAAUCUUCUUUACAAGAAAGAAAAGUUGUGCCCUCUUUGCAAUUCACACACAAAUUCAUGAUACUUCUUCUUUUUCUAUCAGUCCAAGCAUCGGUCAUAAUCGAACAACCAUUGAAAGACCAUUCCUCGUCUUACUUCUUGAGUGACUUCUUAGUCCUCUCUACCUCCUCUUUCAAUAAUGGCUCCCUUAGUUGGUAUUGGCUUGGAGGUUGGUAACCCGGGCUGUAACGACCGAGAAAUUCGGAUUUUAUUGUAAAAUGAUUUUAUUAAAUUAAAUAAUAAUAAAAUCAUAUUCUUUGUGAUAUCAAGAUGGUUGUCAUUCUAUAACCUAUUGAUGUUGGAAUGUCGUAGUAUUUGAGCUACGUGAAGGAAUUAAAGUGUUUGAAUUUCUAAGACGAAAAUAAAAGUUUUCCGAGAAAUUUUCUGAAAAACACUAUUCAUCGGUAUUUGCUCGGGAAUUAUUUUUCAAUUUUCGAGAAAUACGUAAUGAUAGAAUAUCAAGGUAAGACGAAUUAUGUAAUAAUAAUCUAGUUAUGGAAAACGUAAUAUUUCGCUUGCGAACUUAAUUCGAGAAUAUUAAGGAAAGCGAAGUAUUAGUAAGAAAUCGUUAAGGGUAUGAUACUUAUGUAUUGUACAAGGGAAUGAAAACGAGUAUAAUACAAAGUAUUAUACGAGUUUGUAUGAAGGAAGGAAUAUCGUAUAUAAUAAAGUUGUAUACGAAUUAUAAUACGAGAAUAAUACAUAGACAAUAUGUAUAUGUAAUGGAUUUGGAAGAUUGGUUAACAAUUGGUACAAGCCCAAGUGAAUUAAAUGUUAAGGCCAAAUGUUAAUUAAUGAACAAGUUAAUUAAUGCAAGCCCAAAAGAUAGGUUAAACUAAGCCCAAAUUAAAGUCCAAUGGGUUAUGGUGACCCAUGGGGCAAACCAUACUAAUGUGGUUAAUGUGUGGUAACCAAGAUAAGUGGUGACCAAGUUAAGUGGUAACCAAGUUGAUGUAAUGACCAAGCAAAGGAUAGGUUUUGUGCCAUGCAAGUAAUGAAUAGUAAGGAGGUUCAUAAGGAGAUGGGAUUGGUUUAAAGUCCAAACUACCCUAACUUUGAAAAAUCUAUAUAUAGAGGAGGCUUACAAGCCAUUUUUUAGUUGUUCAAAUAAUCCAAACACUCUUUCAAAGUGCUUAAUUGUUAGGGUGAUUAAGUUGCAAAUAAGUUACUUACAUAAGAAGAAGAAGAAGACUACUUACAAAGACUUCAAAUGUAAGACUCCUCUAAUUAUCUUCUAUCUCUAUUCAUGAUAGGUUGAUAAGCAAAGAUGAAUUAAGGAACAUGAAUGUUAAGAAGUGAGAAGAAUGUGUAAGUAAUGAACUAAAGCCACAUAAGUUGGUAAUAAGUCAUUUAAGCUAGCAUAAGUUAUAAACUUAUGUGAAAGUAUUAUGAACUUGUCAUGAGUUUGUUAAUGAAAGUAAAGGAAUUGUAUGUAUAUUAAUCAUAUAUACAUGAAUGAAACUAUAUGUGAAAACAUGUAUGCAUGAUGAUUAAAAGAUAAUAACUUUCAUAAGUUAUGAACAAUGAAGCUAUAAGUAGUUUAUAAUUGAAUAAGUUAUAAGCUCAUGAAUGAAUUAAGUUAAAAUCCAACAAUGGAAAUAAGUUAUUGUAUUAAGUAUGUGAAUAUGUUUAUAGAAUGAAAUGAAUGCAAGUGAGUAAUGAACAAAUCAUAAGUAAUGAAGAUUUGCCAGAAAUCGAACGAUUAGACGAUAAUCGUCGAAUUCAUGAAAUUCCCAGAUUAGAAGUCAAAUUUUGAGUUUGAACUCGGAAAUGUAAUUUUCCAAUGGAGACAAGUCAUAUUCGUCAUUUUAGAGUUGCGAACUCAAGAAUGACUGAAUUCCGACUUAUAAUGAAGAAACGAGCGUUGAACGUUCACGAACGUUUAUCGUUUACGUUAAAAAUGAACCAAUAGGUGAAUUUUUAGCAAACAAAGUCAAAUAGAUAAAAUUUUUGCAUGAACGCGUAGAUUACGUAAUUUGUGAACCGUAGGCUUUUGAACGAGCCAAUUCGGACUUAUAACGAAGAAGUUAUGCGUCCGGGAAGUUCACAAAAUUUAAAGUUUGAAAAAAUUUUCUGGUGCAUAGAGUUGGCGCCGCGGUGCCAACCCUAGGCCAAAUGAUGGCGCCGCAGCGCCGUAACAGUAACCGAGCAUACUGGAAACUCGCGCCGCAGCGCAAACUGUAGAACAUUUUAUGGCGACGCAGCGCCAUGAACAGACCAUGCCAUACUGGAAAGUGGCACCGUAGCGCGGCCCACUAAGUAAGGACUCGCGCCGCAGCGCCAAGUUCCUGACCUCUCCACUAUUAACUCACGCCGCAGGGCGAGCUGUAGUUAUAAAGCUGGCGCAGUAGCGCCAGUCUCAGAACAAGGAUAGUGAAGAAUAUUUCUAAGUACAAAGAAAGAAUGGUAAUGGAUUUAAAAAUAAACAUACUUUAAGGAACAUAACUUAACAUUGUUUAAACUUUGUUAAACCUUAAGGAUGUUGUAUAAAGGUUGAGAUAACCUAGUCAAAUGUAAAUGCAAGUAUAAUGAUAAACCCGAAUGAAUAGUAAAUAUAUCUAAUACACAAUUAGAUUGAGAUGAAGGGUAAGAUAGUCAUAUAUAUACUUGGUUAUAUAUGACCUAAUGUGAGGCAUUAUGUGGUCAUGUAUUGCAGAGACUUGAAAGACUUGAACGUAAAGUAUUUAUACCGUAGCAGACGCUAAAGGCAAGUAUUCUAACUCUUGUCUCAAUUCAAUCUGAACAAGUUUUGAAGUUCGUGUAUUCUUACGCAUGAACUAAUGUAUGAUGAAGUUAAAGCCAAUCCUUUCAGCUAGACUUGACUUAUUGAGUGGAUUAUUGAUAAUCUUUCAGGCACGCGAGGUUGCCACCAAUUAAACGUACAUACGUUUAAUGAAUGUAGUGUUUAUCAACAUAGAGUACAAUAGGCUGAUCACCUAGAAGUGCUCAUAAGUAAUACCGGUCUUACGGACUUAGUUCCGGGUUGUCCUUUUCAAAGAAGAAAGAAAUGCUCGAGGUCUUUGACUGGAGUGAAUGUUUUACUGAAUACUGAUAUUAUUGUAAAACAUUUUUAAAGAAAGAUGAAAUGCUAUUUUGAAUAAUUAAUAGUACUUCAUAACUAUUGUUCAGUUAUUAAAGAUAUACGAUUCGUAUGUAUCAAACAUGUUAUUUAUUGAAAAUGUCAUACUUGCUGAGCUAGUUAUGCUCACUCUUGCUUGAACCAUAUGAAUGCAGCUAAGACUGAAUGUCCCGAAGGAUCGAAUAAGGAUAAAGGAAAAGCUAAGGUAGAUCGUUAAGCUGCCUAUGUAAUAGUAUAGGUUAUUGUUGUAAUGUUAUUGAUAUUAUGACAAAGAACCUUUGUAAUAGGUUUAGAACUUGGGACAAUGUAAUUAUUAUUUUGAUAAUAUAGAAGAGAUGUUCGUUCUUUUGAGGCUUUUCAAUUGAAUGAAUGUAUGAAUGUUAUUACAGUAUAGCACCAUCUGUCAGGUUGGAAGAUACCCGAAUUUAGGGGCGCUACAGGUUGGUAUCAAAGCCUAGGUUGUAAAACUUAAGGGGGAUUAGAACCUUAAGUCAUAACCUUAAUAAAGAAGUAGAAGAUGAAAGAUAACCCUAUAAAAAUGUAUUAUCUUAUGUUAAGUGUUUUUAUUAUUUUACUAACGUGUACUAAUCAAACAAUAUUGUUUUAUUGUAGAUGUCAGGUGAAAAUGAUAUGUAUAGAGAUAUACAUGUAGUGAGCGAGGAUUCGGUUAAUCGAGUAGAGGUACUACCCAAUCCCGUAGCAGUAGAACCAAAGGUGCUGACUAUCGAGUCUGGAGACUCGGACGAUUUAGACUACAUGUCUAUAUUUGAUGGCAUGCUAGAGGAAGAGGUGGACGUGAUGUCCUUUGAUCAGGUUCCACCUACAGAAGAGUUGACUACGGGGGAGUCAAUGAAGGCGUUGUUCAUGUCAAUUCUGGAUAGAAACGUCCACUAAUGUCAAGAAGUUAGGGAGUUCCAAGAGGAACUCCAAGCUGUCCGGGAGGACAAAUUAAGUAUGGAGGGUAUGUUGGAAGAGGAACACGAUGAUCGUGUUUUAGCCAAGGACAAGGUCCACGAGCUGAAACACGAAGUCUUUGAGCUCAAGCAGGAGCUAAAGACUAAACAGCAGAAGAUAGAGAGGAUGUCCUAUAUACAUAGGAGUUCUCAUGUGGACUUCCAGCAACAAGUAGUUGGAUAUCCAGUGGAAGCAGGGCAGACUCGACAUACCAUUAGUCGAGAUGUCAUAGCCGGUUUGGCCAAGAAAGAUUUCGAUAAUGCCAUUCGGCAAAUGUAAUCUAGUUAUAGCUAGACUAGUUUAGAUAUGUAAAUAUUAUGUAUCUAGUAGUGACGUAAAACUCUCUUUUGUAUAUCAAGGGUAGUCUUUUGUAAAUCCCAAUUUUUGGAAAACAAUUGCGGGAUGGUAAUGUAAUCAGCUAAGGCUGAGUAAUGUAAACAAUGUAGUGUUAUGCUACAAGUUAUGAAUCAAUAUAAGUCUUUUUAUGGAACAUAUUGAGUAAUGGGUAUGAGUUAUUAUUUCAGUACAAAUAAUAACAAAACAAGAAGAAGAAAGUAAUAAUGACGUGUUGUUUUCUUAACAGCAAAAUGCCGCCAAGAAGGAGACAACGAAAUCAAGAUACUAAUGUUGAACAACCGGAAGAAGGUCCGGUUAAUCCAAUACAAGAGUUCGUUAAUCUUUUAACGGCUGCGUUUAAUAGAACUGGGGCUAAUGUACCCAUAAAUCCUGGAGUAGUGAUAGCUACUACUUUUAAGGAUUUCAAAAGUGUCGGUCCGCCGGAGUUCAAAGGAACUACAGACCCAAUAGAAGCCCAAACUUGGGUGAAAGAAAUUGAGAAAGCAUUUGUAAUAUCAAAUGUUGAGGAAGGUCAAAAGGUUGCCUUUGCAACCUAUAUGAUGAAAGGGGAGGCCAAUUUCUGGUGGGAGGCAAACCAGGUUAGGGCUGGAAUAGAAAACUUAACGUGGGUAGGGUUCAACGAGAUUUUCUUCUAGAACUAUUUUCCCACGAGUAUGCAGGGGAGGAUGGAAAUGAGGUUUCUUGAUUUGAAACAAGGGGAUAUGACUGUUCCCCAGUAUGCUGCCAAGUUUAAUGAACUGGCAAGAUUUUCUCCACAUCAAGUGGACACUAAAGUGAGAAAGGUUAGACGAUUCGAGCAGGGCUUGAAACCCUGGAUCUAUAGCCAAAUUUCUGUGUUCCAAAGUACUUCCUUUGGAACCAUAUUAGAAAAGGCAAUAAUUGCCAAAGGUGGGAAUGAGGCUCUCAGCCAGUACCACAAGGAUAAGAAAAACAAGGGCAGGGUUGAUGGAGGAAUAAAGACCGAGGGAACCAGUGGUAGUGGCGACGGUCAAAAGAGGAAGAGUUUUAACUCUGGGAAUACCAGAGUAAAGCAAGGGGAUUCAAAAAGGAGGAUGGAGGCUUGUAAAACCUAUGGGAAGACUCAAUUAGGAGUCUGUCUCAAGGGUAAGGCAGUAUGUUAUAAUUGUGGGCAGGAAGGGCACAUUUCGCCUAAUUGUCCCAAUCCAAAGAAAAACCAUUGAUGCUUUGUAUGUGGAUCAACUGACCACAUAGCAAAGAACUGUCCAAAGAAGGGGGCAGAUGGAAAUAAGGGCACUAAUAGCGGUAAGUUGGCUAUUAGUGGUCCAGCUCAGCUGGGUAGACCAAUGGCCUGCACUUUUAAUAUGACGGUCCAAGAUGCGGUGGCAUCAGGGGAUGUAGUUGCAGGUAUUAUCCCGAUCAAUAACAUAAAUGCGUACAUGCUAUUUGAUUCAGGUGCUACUUGUUCAUUUAUAGCAUGUGAUUUUGCAAGACGAUUAGAAUUACUUUCCGAAAAGUUUCUUAUACCUUUGAUUAUUAAGGUAGCAAAUGAAGAGAUAAUUCCUGUUGAAGAUAUUCAUAGGAAUUGUUGCAUAGAUAUACGAGAUUGUAAAUUAUCGGUAGAUUUAAUACCGAUAAAGUUGGGAGAAUUCGAUGUAAUUCUCAGAAUGGAUUGGUUGAUUAACCAUGGAGCAAUUAUAGAUUGCCAGAAGAAAUGUGUGAGCAUUAGGACGUUGAAACAACCUCCUGUAGUAUUUUACGGUAAUAAAUCGCUAGGACGUUCGUGUUGUCUUACGAUGACACAAACUAGAAAACUUUUAAGGAAGGGAUGUGUGGGUUACUUGUGCCAUGUUGUUGACACCCAGCGAGUGGGAGCAACCAUGGAACAAAUACUCAUAGUAAACGAAUUCAUGGAUGUGUUUCCAAGUGAGUUACCGGGGUUACCACCGAAUAGGGAGAUCAAAUUCGUAAUAGACAUAGUGCCAGGAACGGCACCAGUCUCAAGGGCACCGUAUCGUAUGGCGCUUGUGGAAAUGAAAGAGCUAAUGGUUCAGUUACAGGAACUAUUGGAUAGAAAGUACAUUCAACUGAGUGUUUCCCCAUGGGGUGCACCGGUAUUGUUUAUUAAGAAGAAAGACGGAUCGUUAAGACUUUGUAUCGACUAUCGAGAGUUGAACAAGUUAACGAUAAAGAAUAAAUACCCAUUGCCCAGGAUCGAUGAUCUUUUUGAUCAGUUGAAAGGGGUAAAGUAUUUUUCUAAAAUAGAUUUGCGGACGGGGUAUCACCAAUUGAAGGUUAGGAAGGAGGAUAUACCAAAGACGACAUUCAGAACUCGUUAUGGUCAUUAUGAGUUUCUAGUAAUGUCAUUUGGAUUGACGAAUGCACCAGCUGCAUUUAUGGAUAUGAUGAACAGAGUGUUCAAACCAUAUUUGGACAAGUUCGUCGUAGUGUUUAUCGAUGAUAUUCUAGUCUAUUCAAAGAUGCCAGAAGAUCAUGCUGAACACUUAAGAUUAGUGUUGGAGACACUAAGAAAGGAGAAGUUAUAUGCAAAAUUCACUAAGUGUGAAUUUUGGCUGGAGAAGGUAUAGUUUUUAGGUCAUGUCAUUGACCAAGAAGGGAUUUCAGUGGAUCCAGCAAAGGUAGAAGCAGUGAUGAGCUGGGAACAAUCGAAAACGCCGUCUGAGGUGCGGAGUUUCCUAGGGUUAGCGGGAUACUAUCAAAGAUUUAUCCAAGAUUUUUCAAAGAUAGCUACCCCAUUGACUAACUUGACAAGGAAGACGAUGAAAUACGUGUGGACGGAUAAAUAUGAAGACAGUUUUCAAGAAUUGAAGAAAAGAUUAAGUGAAGCUCCUGUUUUGUCAUUACCCGAUGACACAGGAAAUUUUGUAGUUUAUAGCGAUGCUUCGCAUAGAGGACUUGGUUGCGUGCUCAUGCAGCAUGCCAAAGUCAUUGCGUAUGCAUCAUGGCAGUUAAAGGAUUAUGAGAAAGUCUAUCCUACUCAUGAUCUGGAACUGGCCGUGAUAGUGUUUGCCUUAAAGAUAUGGAGACAUUAUCUUUAUGGGGAGAAAUGUGAGAUAUAUACGGACCAUAAGAGUCUUAAGUAUAUCUUCACUCAGAAGGAGUUGAAUAUGAGACAGAGAAGAUGGCUAGAGUUGAUAAAGGAUUACGAUUGUGAAAUCCUGUAUCACCCUAGGAAAGCCAAUGUAGUUGUCGAUGCCUUAAGUAGGAAGGGUCGAGAAAAGUUAUCUGUGUUAACAACUCAAAAUGAGUUAAUAACAAAGAUGGCUAAGAUGGAAAUAGAAGUGAAGAUGCCAAGUGACUCUAGGCAGAUACUUUUUUCAACGGAGAUGCAAUCUACCAUCGUAGAGAGAGUCAAGGAGGUACAACUCAAGACUGACGAGUGUAACCAAAUGAAGAAGCGGAUAUCUGAUAAGGAAGAUACUAAGUAUAGUCUUGAUAAUGAAGAAUUAUUAAGAUUUGAAGGAACAAUUUGGGUUCCAAAUGAGACAGAAUUAAAGGAGCAAGUGUUACAAGAAGCUCAUAGUUUGAGGUACUUGAUACAUCCUGGUAGCACUAAGAUGUAUCAAGACCUUCGACAGAUUUUUUGGUGGCCGAAUAUGAAGAGAGAAAUAGCUGAAUACGUGAGUAGAUGCUUAACUUGUCAAAAAGUUAAAGCUGAACAUCAAAGACCAAGUGGCUUGUUACAGUCAUUGGAGAUUCCAGAAUGGAAGUGGGAGCAUAUCACGAUGGACUUCGUGAUGGGACUUUCGACAACGACCAAAGGGUACGAUUCGAUUUGGGUAAUAGUAGACCGAUUGACGAAAUUGGCUCACUUCUUACCAAUUAGGGUCAAGUAUAACUUAGACUAGUUAGCUAAGCUUUAUGUCAAGGAAAUUAUUUCCAGACAUGGAGUACUAGUAUUGAUUGUGUCAGAUCGUGAUCCACGAUUCACAUCGAACUUCUGGAGAAGUUUGCAAGAACAGCUGGGAACACAGUUGAAGUUAAGCACAACUUAUCAUCCACAAACUGAUGGGUAGAGCGAGAGGACAAUUCAGACGUUAGAAGACAUGUUAAGGUCUUGCGUCAUGGAUUUUAAGGGUAGUUGGGAUGAUCACCUACCACUUGUAGAGUUUGCAUAUAACAACAGUUAUCAUGCAAGCAUAGGCAUGCCGCCUUAUGAAGCUUUGUACGGAAGGUGCAGAAAACCAUUGUAUUGGGAUGAAGUGGGAGAACGCCGGAUGCUAGGACCAGAAUUGGUGCAGCAGACAGCGGAUGUAAUAAAGUUAAUUCAGAUGCAUCUUGUUACAGGUCAAGACAGACAGAAGAAAUAUGCGGACUCACAUAGAUUAAAUCGAGAGUUUGAAGUAGGCUCAUAUGUAUUUCUAAAGGUAUCUCCCUGGAAAGGAAAGAUACGCUUUGGAAAGAAAGGAAAGAUACGCUUUGGAAAGAAAGGGAAGAUAAGUCCAAGGUUUAUAGGACCUUUUGAGGUAUUAAAAAGGGUGGGAGAGGUAGCUUAUAUGAUAGCAUUACCUCCAGACCUAUAAAGAAUAAAUAACGUGUUUCACGUAUCUGUAUUGCGUCCGUAUAAGCCGAAUUAUAAGCACGUAAUCGAAUAUGAGCCGAUUCAUAUCGAGAAAGAUUUAACCUAUGAAGAAUCGUCGAUUCAAAUCAUUGAUAGAAAAGAGCAAGUUCUGCGGAACAAAGUAAUACCGUCAGUAAAGGUAUUAUGGAAGAACCACGAUGCCGAAGAAGCAACGUGGGAAUUAGAAGAAAAGAUGAAGAAAAAUUUUCCUCAUCUAUUUGAUUAAAGUAAGACAAGAUUCUGGGGACAUAAUCUUUAUAAGGGGGGAAGAAUGUAAUGACCGAGAAAUUCAGAUUUUAUUGUAAAAUGAUUUUACUAACUAAAUAAUAAUAAAAUCAUAUUCUUUGUGAUAUCAAGAUGGUUGUCAUUCUAUAACCUAUUGAUGUUGGAAUGUCGUAGUAUUUGAGAUACGUGAAGAAAUUAAAGUGUUUGAAUUUCUAAGACGAAAGUAAAAGUUUUCCGAGAAAUUUUCUGAAAAACACUAUUCAUCAGUAUUUGCUCGGGAAUUAUUUUUAAUUUCCGAGAAAUACGUAAUGAUAGAAUAUCAAGGUAAGAUGGAUUAUGUAAUAAUAAUCUAGUUAUGGAAAACGUAAUAUUCGCUUGCGGAAUUAAUUCGAGAAUAUUAAGGAAAGCGAAGUAUUAGUAAGAAAUCGUUAAGGGUAUGAUACUUAUGUAUUGUACAAGGGAAUGAAAACAAGUAUAAUACAAAGUAUUAUACGAGUUUGUAUGAAGGAAGGAAUAUCGUAUAUAAUGAAGUUGUAUACGAAUUAUAAUAUGAGAAUAAUACAUAGACAAUAUGUAUAUGUAAUGGAUUUGGAAGAUUGGUUAACAAUUGGUACAAGCCCAAGUGAAUUAAAUGUUAAGGCCCAAUGUUAAUUAAUGAAUAAGUUAAUUAAUGCAAGCCCAAAAGAUAGGUUAAACUAAGCCCAAAUUAAAGUCCAAUGGGUUAUGGUGACCCAUGGGGCAAACCAUACUAAUGUGGUUAAUGUGUGGUAACCAAGAUAAGUGGUGACCAAGUUAAGUGGUAACCAAGUUGUUGUAAUGACCAAGCAAAGGAUAGGUUUUGUGCCAUGCAAGUAAUGAAUAGUAAGGAGGUUCAUAAGGAGGUGGGAUUGGUUUAAAGUCCAAACUACCCUAACUUUGGAAAAUCUAUAUAUAGAGGAGGCUUACAAGCCAUUUGUUAGUUGUUCAAAUAAUCCAAACACUCUCUCAAAGUGCUUAAUUGUUAGGGUGAUUAAGUUGAAAAUAAGCCACUUACAUAAGAAGAAGAAGAAGAAGAAGAAGACUACUUACAAAGACUUCAAAUGUAAGACUCCUUCUCUAAUUAUCUUCUAUCUCUAUUCAUGAUAGGUUAAUAAGCAAAGAUGAAUUAAAGAACAUGAAUGUUAAGAAGUGAGAAGAAAGUGUAAGUAUUGAACUUAAGCCACAUAAGUUGGUAAUAAGUCAUUUAAGCUAGCAUAAGUUAUAAACUUAUGUGAAAGUAUUAUGAACUUGUCAUGAGUUUAUUAAUGAAAGUAAAUAAAUUGUAUGUAUAUUAAUCAUAUAUACAUGAAUGAAAUUAUAUGUGAAAACAUGUAUGCAUGAUGAUUAAAAGACAAUAACUUUCAUAAGUUAUGAACAAUAAAGCUAUAAGUAGUUUAUAAUUGAAUAAGUUAUAAGCUCAUGAAUGAAUUAAGUCAAAAUCCAAUAAUGGAAAUAAGUUGUUGUAUUAAGUAUGUGAAGAUGUUUAUAGAAUGAAAUGAAUGCAAGUGAAGUAAUGAACAAAUCAUAAGUAAUGAAGAUUUUCUGGAAAUCGAACGAUUAGACGAUAAUCGUCGAAUUCGUGAAAUUCCCGGAUUAGAAGUCAAAUUUUGAGUUUGAACUCAGAAUGAACCAAUAGGUGAAUUUUUAGCAAACGAAGUCAAAUAGAUAAAAUUUUGCAUGAACGUGUAGAUUACGUAAUUUAUGAACCGUAGGCUUUUGAACGAGCCAAUUCGGACUUAUAACGAAGAAGUUAUGCGUCCGGGAAGUUCAUAAAAUUUAAAGUUUGAAAAAAAUUUCUGGUGCACAGAGUUGGCGCCACGGCGCCAACCCUAGGCCAAAUGAUGGCGCCGCAGCGCUAUAACAGUAACCGAGCAUACUGGAAACUCGCGUCGCAGCACGAACUAUAGAACAUUUUGUGGUGACGCAGCGCCAUGAACAGACCAUGACAUACUGGAAAGUGGCAUCGUAACGCGGCCCACUAAGUAAGGACUCGCGCCACAGCGCCAAGUUCCGGACCUCUCCACUGUUAACUCGUGCCGCAGGGCGAGCUGUAGUUAUAAAGCUGGCGCUGCAGCGCCAGUCUCAGAACAAGGAUAGUGAAGAAUAUUUCUAAGUACAAAGAAAGAAUGGUAAUGGAUUUAAAAGUAAACAUACUUUAAGGAACAUAACUUAACAUUGUUUAAACUUUGUUAAACCUUAAGGAUGUUGUAUAAAGGUUGAGAUAACCUAGUCAAAUGUAAAUGCAAGUAUAAUGAUAAAUCAGAAUGAAUAGUAAAUAUAUCUAAUACACAAUUAGAUUGAGAUGAAGGGUAAGAUAGUCAUAUAUAUACUUGGUUAUAUAUGACCUAAUGUGAGGCAUUAUGUGAUCAUGUAUUGUAGAGACUUGAAAGACUUGAACGUAAAGUAUUUAUACCGUAGCAGACGCUAAAGGCAAGUAUUCUAACUCUUGUCUCAGUUCAAUCUGAACAAGUUUUGAAGUUCGUGUAUUCUUACGCAUGAACUAAUGUAUGAUGAAGUUAAAGCCAAUCCUUUCGGCUAGACUUGACAUAUUGAGUGGAUUAUUGAUAAUCUAUUCAUCUAUUAUCAUAUGUUAUUAUCUUUUUUCAACUACUUGAUAUGGUUUUCAAAAGAAGACUGAAAUGUUAAACAAAUGUUUUUGUCGUUAAACGACAGGCAUGCGAGGUUGCCACCAAUUAAACGUACAUACGUUUAAUGAAUGUAGUGUUGAUCAACAUAGAGUACAAUAGGCUGAUCACCUAGAAGUGCUAGUAAGUAUUACCGGGCUUACGGACUUAGUUCCGGGUUGUCCUUUUCAAAGAAGAAAGAAAUGCUCGAGGUCUUUGACUGGAGUGAAUGUUUUACUGAAUACUGAUAUUAUUGUAAAACAUUUUGAAAGAAAGAUGAAGUGCUAUUUUGAAUCAUCAAUAGUACUUCAUAACUAUUGUUCAGUUAUUGAAGAUAUACGAUUCGUAUGUAUCAAGCAUGUUAUUUAUUGAAAAUGUCAUACUUGCUGAGCUAGUUAUGCUCACCCUUGCUUGAACCAUAUGAAUGCAACUAAGACUUAACGUCCCGAAGGAUCGAAUAAGGAUAAAGGAAAAGCUAAGGCAGAUCGUUAAGCUGCCUAUGUAAUAGUAUAGGUUAUUAUUGUAAUGUUAUUGAUAUUAUGACAAAGAACCUUUGUAAUGGGUUUAGAACUUGGGACAAUGUAAAUAUUAUUUUGAUAAUAUAGAAGAUAUGUUCGUUCUUUUGAGGCUUUUCAAUUGAAUAAAUGUAUGAAUGUUUGUAUAGUAUAGCACCAUCUGUCGGGUUGGAAGAUACCCGGAUUUGGGGGCGCUACACGGGCCAUAUUAACCAACCUCCUCACAAAACCUUUUGAAGCUGUCACAGUCGAUAACAUUAAAAGGAAUACCGACUUCAUACACCCAUCGAGCCAUGUAUUAAAGCACACUAUGCGUCCUUUCCUUCCAAAGUGCAUCAUUAAUAUUUUGUUAUCGUAGCUUUUUACUUGCACUCAUUAAAGAAUCGGGAUUUAUGGUCGAUGCAAAUUUAUCCAUAGCCUCAAUCAAUUGUGGUCUUUUUCUUGACCCUGUCACUUCAAUUUCUUCUUCUCCCUCUUCAUCAAUUAUAUUAACCUCUCUUCUAAUUUCUUCAAUCUCUUUCCUUUUUUCUUGCUUCUUCCUUUUAACUUCUUCUAAUGCGGCUUUACAGUUUUCUUUAUCUUCAUCAGUAGCCUUUGGGCACGAUCUAGUAUUUCCCGUAAUUUGCGCAAUGUGUUAUUUAAUUCUAUAAACCCCUCCACUAAUACAAUGUCCACACAACUUGCAUUUCACCUUAUCGAUAUUUUUAGGAUUAAUCAACAUCCCAUACUACCAUCCAACGUCAUUUCAUGCACGUUUCAAUUGUGAUUUAAGUACAGUGACAGAAUUAGAUGCUCCCGAAGAAGGAAUUUGUGCCAUUGAAACAAACCUACAAAUGUCACAGUCUAUAGAAGGCGGCAGCAACAAAUAGAGGGAAAAUAAGUAAGUCAAUAAGAUAUUCAUAUUCUCUGUUUACUAUACACAGUUAUAGCUCAUGCUUGGUUAUUUUAUAUUUUAUUUUCUCUGUUUGGUAUACACAGUACGGUUUGUUGUAUUUUUGUUUAUGUACAGCUUUCUUUGGAUGCUCAUUGCUCUGGAACUAUUAUUUCACAGGCCUCGCUAGUGUCGCAUCCAAACUCGUAUUUCAUUUUGACUGUCGAUAUUAAUACUUGUUCUGUGACCCAAGAAUGUUUACUUACUGUGAUUGAGAUUGUUCAGUUUUAAUUUGAGCUUAAAGUUUGUUGAUGAACUCAAACCUUUUUAGUUGCUUAGCAGAAAGGAAAAUUUCAAAAACAAGUGGCGAUGUGGAGUUUACAAACAAGCUAAUUGAUGUUCACAAACAAGCUAAUUGAUGUUUACAAGAUAUCAAAACUCACUGUGAUGGAGUGGUGUUGUGGCCAUGUGGCGGCGAUGGAGUGGCGUUGUCGCUACGAUGGAGCAGUGGCGGCCGUCCGGCCGUGCGCCCGUGCCUCUUCUUCUUCUUCUUCUUUUGCAGUUCUGCCCUUUCUUCUUCACUUUAGUAAUGGUCUGCACGUUUUUUAGAGAAUGGAAGAAAGAUCAGAUGACUGAAGUGAUGACUAUGACUAUGAGUAGUGGGUAUUAAAUUUUAACUUUGAGUAAAGAUAUCAUGUGUACACCCUCACCACAAACUUUGUAAGCUAUCAAGAAUGUUUACUUCAUGCCACGUGUUGAGCAAUAUGCCAU
rnacentral:lncRNA from 1 species